rnacentral:lncRNA from 1 species
GAUAUAUUCAUCAUCAUUAAACUCUAAAUUUUAAACCUCACAUCUCGAAAGCAAUAAUUAAAUACAAAAUUUUAAAUCCUAAACCCUCUAUAUAUAUACCGACACAUCAACAAUAUGAUGUAAAGAUACUAUGCUAUCAGAAGUAUAGAGAAUUCGAUACUUUCAAUUUUUUGACCUUCAAAUUAAGAAUUCUAUAGUUGGAAUAAUUGCGGUCCCUUAUUGAAUUGAGCGGUCUAUAUAAAAUAAUAAAUUAAUUCAAAAAUUAGAAAUGACAAAAAAAGUUGAUUUAAGAAUUAAAAAAUCAAAAAUAUUAUAUCCUAUAUACUUUCAAUAGUAUAGUAACUCUGCUCAACAAUACGCUACCAACAACAUGUUGUGCAAAAUCAUGUAAAAAUAAAUAAAUAAAUAAUAUUGCUGGAGCUAAUCAGAAGCCUUUCCUAUAGUAGAAACUUCUACAAACAUUGUACUCUCUCUCUCUCUCUCUCUCUCUCUCUCGGUUACUAAUUAUUCCGAGACAAAGAACCUUCCAAGAUGUUCCUCCUCGUACCAAAUCCCCUUAAAAUUCCCUUCCCAAUUCUCCACGUACUCACAACAACAACAACAACAACAACAACAACAACACGCCCUUCUCUCUCAAUUCGUCUUCCUCCUCCUCCGCCAUGAGCGGCCGCAUCCUCCUCCUCCUCCCUCCGCCGCCCUCCGCCGCCGCCGCCGCGGCGGUCGAUCGCCGACACUCCCACCUCGAUGGAGUGCUUGCUGUCUCCUUCGCCGCCCUCUUCUCCCUCUCCCUCGCCUACCUCCUCCUCAGCUCCCUCCACCACUGCCGCCGCCGCCGUCGCGGGACGUCGUCGGACCGAAUCCCUGACAAAACGCAGGCCCCCGACGCCGCGUGCUCGGCCCAGCUCCAGGCUAUCCCCAUCACGACCGUCCGCAAGAAUGUGGCGGCGGCGGCAGCAACUACCCACGGCGACACACAGGCACAGUAACAAUAUUUCCUCUCUUACGCAUCACUUACUAAGCUAAAAAUGUAUAGAACUUAGGAAUCCGACUACCUUUUAAAAACUUACAAUAACAAAGUAUCUGUAAAUUUUCUAUGUUAGUUCUAUGUUUUUGACUAUUUUUAUUUAUUAAAUUAUAUUAUUUAAUUAAUUAUAUAUUUAAUUUUUAAAAAAAUGUUAUUAUUCUAAUCGCUUAUUUCUUAAUUCAAGAUUUAUACUUUUAAAAUUAGUAGUCGAAUUGUGAACCUUUCGAAUCAGUCAAUAAUAUUUUUAUUUUAAAAUUUAUAUUAAUUAUUUAUUUUAAUAAAUUUAUAAGUUAUGAAAAUUAUAUAAGAUAUACUAAUCAAAUCUAUAAAAUUUAAAUAAUAAAUCAAAAGUUUAAAUUUUUGAAAAUUUAAAUUCGUGACGUUGCAAUAUUUUUGGCUUAAUAGGAGGAGGAGAGCACGUGUGCGGUGUGCUUGGGGCAGUACAACGAGGGUGAGGAGAUCCGUACGAUGCCACGUUGUGGACACGUGUUCCACAGGGAGUGCAUCGACAGGUGGUUGAUCCGACGGUCCUCCUUCUGCCCCGUGUGCCGCGGCCGCGUGAUCCGACGGUCGGCGGAGCCCACGAUCACGAGUUGUUGGGUUGAGACCGGGCGAGUGGGGCCGGUUCCGCUUCCGAGCGCGAGCGCGGUUUCGACUCCGAUCGCGUCGGUUUUGUGAAAUAAAAAAUUGGCUAAAAUAAUAAAAUAUCGCAUCGAUUCCAAAAAAAAAAAAAAAAAAAAAAAAAAAAAAAAAAAAAAAAAAAAAAAAGCAGUUUUGAGACUCAAAUAUUUGUCGCAUGCGUUACUCGUUAUGCACUUCGAGAGGUCUCAAACUGAUGAAUCUGCAUGUAUUAUUCUAUCUCAUGAUUCACAUCAUCAUAAAUUCAUUUACAUGUAUCAGAUAUUUUAGUCUCAAAUUACUUUAGUUUGAGACAUAAAUAAAUGUGGUUUUGAGAGAGGGGACAUUGCAUGUGGUUAGGUGUAGGUUUAGGGGGGGUAUUUUUUGUUUUAUUUUUUCUGAAUUUCUUAGUUACUAGAAGAAACGACUGAAAAUAAAAAUAUUAUUUAUUAUUGUGCCCACUUGAGGAGUAGAUAGGAGUAUGAUCAAGGAUGUGACAUUAUUUUGUUUGGAAAUUUUACCCAAAUUAAGAAAUAUUGGGGUAAAUAAAUGUAUGAAAUUUUUCUCAAUUAUAACUUAUCUUUAUCUGGCUAUUCGGCUUUUAAAAAUUUUGAUCUUACUAUCUAACCUUUCGAUUUAUUUGAUUGGAGCCGAUUAGUGAUUCUUUAAAUUUAAAUUUUGAAUGCUUCGUUUAUUUUUACAGGUUUAAUCAAUAUAUUUUAUACAAUUUACACAACUGUAAAUUUAUUAAAAUAAAUAAUUAACUUAAUUUUAUAUUAGAAGAAGCAUCAAAUUAUUUAAAUCAAACAAAUUAAAAGUUUAGAUACUAAAAUUAAAAUUUUAAAAGGCUGGACAAUUGAAUCAAAAUAAGUAGAAGAUAAUAAUCCUUGGAUGAAAAAGAUGUAAGAUAUACAUGCAGCAUUGCUCUUCUAAGAUUUGCCUACCAAAUGCCGUAACGAAACAAUGACAUACUUUUUGGUUCUUCCGCACUUUGCACGGAAAAUGUUUACUGAGCAACGAAAUCUCAGAAUUCAACAUUUCAAUUGUCUGCAAGAUCUAAGAGUGAAAACUAAACAAACCAUUCAUGCAGUCAAUUUACCGUUUAAGACCAAAUCUUCUAUUGGAAAUGUUUGAAUACCAUUUAAAUAGCACGGUCGCCGCUACAAUUGAAAUCUUUUACAAUAAGACAUAUGUACAAAACAAAAAGGCUGUAUUACAUUGCGACUCUCAUCUACAAAACUAAUCCGCGUCCGACGGUAGUUCCGCUGAUUCAGUUUCAAGGGGACUUAUGGACAAACUCCGUCUUUAAAGCUUCCUCCAAUUGUGAGAACAAUGACGAGAAUAAUCCUGUUGAGAAAAGUAGGCUGUAUAAGAUUAACACGACGUACAAGAACAUGGUAAAAAGUACCAGUUUGAGAUUGAAAAUGCCACGGAAAAUGCAAUUUGAUCGAAGCAUCCAUAUGAUUUUAGAAACAAUGGCGAAAGCAGCAAACCUACAGGACAACUUGUCUCGAGAUAAAGCUGGAAAUUUUGCUCGGCAUUCAUACAUUCAGCACAAGAUCUUACAACAGUUUACCGAUUUAGAAACUUCACAACCAUGAGGGUUUCAGGCUUAUAAUUUCCGCGUACUACGUAAAGGAACAAUGCAGUAGAUGAUCUGAGGGAUACACAUUUGUUUAACCUCAAAUACCGAUUGUAUUUAAGUAGAAAAAUACAAUUUCUACUCUUAUGGCAUUAACUAUUCCUUCUGCAUCAACAAGAAGGGUGAUGAUAUUAGGGCUCAUAUUCCGGUCGAAUCAGGAGAAGUCCAUAUCCACAACUAAAAGAAUGACGAAGAGCAAGUACUUGUUACAUUUUAGAUCCCCUUCCUAUUCUCGUGCUGAAUAUGAAAGGAUUCUUAUCACCAUAGAACAGAGUAGCUCUACCCUCAUCUUAAAGCACAUCUAUUGAAUCAUGUGAAAAAAAAAAAGAAUGUAAACCUACAACGGACCCUCCCUCAAGCAGCAGCUGGAAAAAAAGCAGCACUAUGACAGAAAAUCCAUAGAAAAGUAAUUAAAUCAAACAAAAUAAUCCUGUCUAACGGGACAUUCAGUAAAUAUUCCUAUGGAACAUUUUUAAUUUCAAAAUAUUAAAAUAAGCAGAGAAGUACCAGAAGGUAAAUUCUCUUUCUGCAGUGAUGAUCCUUUCACUAGAAGUGUGCCAGGAAUUUGCUCAAAUACCUACAGAUAAAAAAUAAAACCAUGUAAGCCAAGUCAAAAGACUCACAACAUGCAUUACACUAAAAAGUUAAAAAAUAAAAAUAAAAAAUUCAAAGAAUAAGAAUUUACAUACUGAAACUCGGAAGGAGAUUCCAUUAGUUGCGCAAUCUGAUUUGUUUGAUACAUCACUGUUAGAAAGAUUACAAGUCUGCUCAUCUGAUAUUGUGACCUAUGAAAAUACCAUAGACUUCCAGAUUAGAUAAUGGCAAAUAAUGACAUUUUGAAUGGCCAUAAACAUAAAAAAUAUGUGACCUUACAUUAACACAAAAUGUCGACAAAUCAGAUUUACAAGACGCACCAAUAGCUAUGAAAAAGGACUCCACUGACUUCAAUAUUUGAAAUGCACCAAUCUGGCGUUGGAGGCCCUGAAGCAUGAGAACAGUCAAAGUUAGCAGGAAACAAAGUAACAAAGAGAAAUUUUACUCAGAAAAGAAUAAUUUUGCUCAUUAGAAAGUUCACAUGUAAAGUCCAGAUGACAAGGAUCAUGCUUACAAUUUCAUUAUGGCCAAAAGGUGAUAUUAAUCAAAAAAAAAAAAUGGAUAGCUCAAACUCAUAUUGAUUAGAGAUUGGGGUUUGUAUGAGAUCAUUAGGUUACAGCAGAAAAGGAACAAGCAAGUAACCAUAAAAGGACCAAACACAUACAAUGGGUUGCAAGAUAUGAGAACAUAAAGCUCCACCAAACCAUUCACACGGCACACUAAUAAUAGAACAUAUGUUCUGUUGGUCAAUGGUACAUGAUAUAUCAGUUGCAGUAGGAGCAUACUAACAGGGCAAAGAUGUUGGAACACUGCAGGACACUAAAAUAGUUCAACUCUCAUGCACUCAGCUCAAACAUCAAAAGCUACUACAUGAUCAAGAAUCCAACUUUUAACAGGAUAUAUUUAGGUGCAGUCAAUUCAUCCUAUGUAACCACACCUUUCAUAAUCAAUGUUACACAUUGGAUGAAUUAAUUCAAGUCCAAUUGACAAAUCAAAGCUAGUAGUUAGCUGCAAAUAUACUUCGAAAUGGAAGACAGCAAAGUAUUACAGGAUGAGAUGAAGAAGAAAAAACAGAGCAACCUCAAGCAUGAAAGAACUAUGAUUCUUCACUUGUGCACUUGCUGCAAUAAACUUUUUGGUUGGAGGGAGAAAAGACCAUGCAAGACCCCAUCGAGCCGUUUGGCCUUGAACAAAUUCUGUAGUCUUUACAACGGAGGCCCCAACUUCAUGAGCUUUCGACACUAAGAAUUUUAAGUUCACUUUCCUCCCAACCAUUGAUGUAAACCACCUAAUAGCCACAAUGAACAUCAAUUUAAUGAUACACUAAGAGCAACAUCAAAUAAUUACCAAAUUCCGUUUGUGAAGUUCCACCUAGACUUCUAUUUCGCUAUUAAGUUUCAAUUCUAAUAGCUUAAUCCUUGUAGUUUUAUCAUGAUUAUGAAUUUUCUUCAAAGUUUCAAUUUUGACAAAGCAAAAUAUAGCUACGAUGUUGACAUGUUGCCUUGUCAAAUAGUAAAGCAACAAAAGGACAAAAAAUGUUAUGAAGAACGAAUUUCAGGGACUAAAUUAUUACAGUUUAAACUAUCACUAAGUUGAAAUCAGAGACAAACUUCAGGGACUAAAUUUGACCCCAAAAAAUGUAGAAAUGCUCAAAUCACACCUGAAAGAAUGCUUUAAAGAAACACUAUCUUUGAUGAUUCGAGUGAUGAAAGCCCGCUCUCCACCAGAGCAAACCAUCUCAGCAGCAGUUCCCCCACAUGAAGUCUUUGGGUUAAGUCCUGCUACUUCUAUGCUCUCAAAAAAUGGAGGAUUGCACAUGCAAAAGUCGAAACUUUCACCAUCUUUGACAACACCCAGAAGGAUAGGUGGCCCACAAUAGCAAUCCUUCUUCGAUUCCAACUCCAGUGAUUCAGUGUUGUCUAUGACAGAAGAAGAUGAAUCAUUCGCAUUUCUGACUUCGAUUAGUUCUGCAAGAUGAGGAUUGCUCUCCACAUUCCUCUUAGCCCAUUCGAGAGCCACAUCAGUCACAUCUACAAAACAAAAGCCGCCGCAAUUCUCUUGUCAUACUGCGAUUCAAAAGGCACUAUGCUAAUUACAUCACAAUAAUUUUAGGAUUUCCUAUGCAGAAAACUCAAAGGAUUACCUGAUCCAACAAAGCUCCAACCGAGCAAAGAUGCACCUAAGAGCGGGUAAAUACAAUUGGCUCCGGUCCCAAUAUCAAAUCCCCUAACCCUACCAUCCGAGACCGAGCUCUCUGGGAUGAGAUCAGAGGCAAGGAGAUCCUCGAUCCAGUGGAUGUAGUUAGAUCGGUUCGGCACGGUGGGACAUAACUGCCCAUCAGGUAUCCACCUGAAAACCUAGUUAGUGAAUUCGCAAAUAACUCGCAAACUUUACCCUCACAUUUGUAUAAAUGAAUAGUUCGUUACAUUUUUGUAUUUUCCCAAAAGGCCCUAAAAAAUUUCGUUGCAUAUAGUAAACUCCGACCGUAUAAUUGGUCCUUGAUAAAAACCCACUUUUUCUUCAAUAAAAAAAAUAAAUAGUUUUUUUAGGUGAUUAUAUAAGUUCAUAGAUUCAUUAGGAUAAAAUUAUACUACUGUUCAUCGCAUAUCACUCCAUCAUCAAUGCAUAUUAACAUGUUGCGCAGUAACUAUCAUAUAUAUAUAUAUAUAUAUAUAUAUAUAUAUUGCUGAAAUUUUAACAUCAAUUUCCAACUAUUUCCGUGUGAUUCCGCUGUCGUAUUAUUGCCGAAUCGUGUUAACUAACAAUUUGUCCGAAACCCUAUUAGAUGUUCAACUACGAAGUAACGAAGAACGGAACGAGGCGAAGGGCGAGGGGAUCGGGGAGAGGGUGCUCACCAGUGGACGCCAUGGUCGUGGAGGAGGAGGACGCGGCUGAGCUCGCGGGUGGCGGCGGGGUCGGUCCAGUCGAUGGAGGCCCGGGACGAGGAGGAGGAGGAGGAGGAGGGGGAGGAGACGAAGGGGCGGAGGGAGGGGUAGAGGGAGGCGAGAAGGGCGAAGUCCGGGGGCGACUCCGUGUACCUGUUGCGGGGGUGCAUCGCCGGGGGCUGGCCCACCCCCCGCCGCCGCGGCCGCGGCCGCGGCCGCUUCUUGCUCGGCAUCGCGGCGGCGGCGGCUCCGCCCGGUGUCGCUAGGGUUUUGAGGAGGACGACGAUGAAGAAGAAACCGCAAGUUAAAUUAUGAAUUCUAUUACUAAAUAAAAAAUUAAAAAAAUUAAAACUUUUUCCUCAUAAUUUGAAAUUUUUAAUUAGUAAAAUUUUAUUUUAUAUACGCAAACUGACUCACCAAGAACGAGCUAGAUUGUUCCCCUUAGAUUUUACUGAUGUGAGUUAGGACUGGAAACGAGCCGAGAACGGAUUGACUUGUUAAAAUAUCACGGACUAGCUUAUGAACAACAAAUUAAAUUGUAAGCUUCGUUAUUGAGUGAAAAAAUUAAAAAAAAAUAAAUAAUUAAAAUCUUUUCCUAAUAAUUGAAAAUUUCAACUAGUAAAAAUUUAUUUUAUAUAGAUGAACUAUAUCAUGCCGAAUAUGAGUUAGCUUAUCCCAACCAUAUUCAAUUUUUGGAUCAUGUUCGGCUCAUUUAUUAAAUUAGCGAUCUCGAACUCAUUUCAAGUCGAACACCAGCCGGCUGGUGAGCAAAAGAUAAAAAGUUGAGAAAAUAAGCAAAAAUAAUGCCACCUCCACUGCAUUUGUACGGUUGUAUACAACACAUUUAUCAGCCUUUUAUCCAUCUUAUGUUGCAAAAAUUAAUUAUGCAGUUUUGAAGUGUGGAUAAAAUUACAAUUCAAUGAUAGUCCGAAGUUAAGGGUCCAUUUAGUAUUAAAGUUUAUCUAACACUAAUAUGCAAAACAAAUUUAAGUGAAAGUAUAUAAAAAUAUACUCUUUUACUUCUCUACGAGACUACAGAAAAUAUAUUAUAAUCGACUUAUUAUUAUAUAUGGAACGUAAUAUUAUAUAUGAAAAUAAAUAUGAUAUUUUGAACUCGAUUAUAAUAUAUUUUCUGUAGUCUCGUAGAGANAUUUUUCGUUAUUAGAUCUAUCCCUUUAACAAUUUUUACCCCUUAAAUCAUAUUAUUUCACUAACCAACCACUUAACUCUAGGGGGCCAUUAUCAUCCUAAUUGUAUAUUUUUUCAUUCAAAAAUCGAAAAUCUAAUAGCACUAAUGACUGAAUACUAUUAACAGUAUAGUAGUCUAAUUUAGAUAUUUUUAUAUUAUACUUUCUCUCUGCAUAUAAUAUAGUCCUUCAGUAAUUAAUUCCAAACAAAGCCUAAAUAUAAGACACGAUGAUGGGACGAAUAAACUUUUAUAAAGAAAAAAAAAAAGAUAACGUGAAUAAAUGAAACAAAAAAUACUUUUAAAAGUUGAUUUUUUUUUUUUUUUUUUGAAAGAGAGAAAGGUAGAAUGCUAUACAUCUGUUUUGUUUAUUUCUUUUAAAAAUAAAUUUUGUUGAAAAUAUAAAUUAAUUAAAAUUUAAACUUGAGAUUUCGAGUACCAACCAAUCUGUCUUUAGCCAGAAAAGUUGAAUGUUGAAUGAGAAAGAUGAGUAACAAAGUGAAACUUCACUCAAGAUUCUACAACCAUCAAACACUGUCCAAGAAUUUGUUACAUAUGGUUAAACUUAGGCUGAUCAAAUUGGAAAGGUAAUUGGAACAAAUAUGCAAAGAGGGCUGUGUUUGUGUAGUUAAAUAGAUCACCUAUGUCAAUAUGCAUCUCUUGCUUUAAAGUUCAAAAUUUUCCAUUCAAAGUGAAAAAGGAUCACUUGGUUUUCAAACCAAAUCUCAACUUUUUAGUGACCUACCAUCACCACAACAUCAAACCAAUCAACCACAAUUUCUUUCUUUGGCCAUCUCCUCAACCACAUAGCCCCCAAAGCCCAAGCCUCCUUAGUCCUUACUAUAUAGUAACAAAAUAAUUUCAAAUGUAUAGGCAUAUAAAUUCAAUAUUUUAAUACCUUAUACAUGUUACCAACUAAUGCUUUGUAGUCACAAAGGGCAUCAAGAUGGCUAAGACUAUCAUAGCUUUCCUCGCCAUCCUCCAUCUCGCGGUCGUCGGUCGAACCCACGAUUUCGAGGCCUGGAGUCAGGGGCUCCGCCUGACCGGCAUAAAGUCAGAGCAGGUAACAGAUCUCCACUUCUACUUCCAGGACACCGUGAGCGGGACUGACCCGACUGCGGUCCGCGUGGCCCAGGCGACGGGCACGGACCGGUCGCCGACUCUUUUCGGUAUGGUGAUGAUGGCGGAUGAUCCGCUAACCGAGGGGCCCGACCCGACAUCUAACGUUGUGGGCCGGGCCCAGGGGAUUUACGGGUCGGCGGGCCAAAAUGAGGUGGGCCUUAUUAUGUCGAUGAGUUUUGCGUUCACCAACAGGGAGUACAACGGGAGCUCGAUAAGUGUGUUGGGCCGGAACCUAGCGCUACACCCGGUCCGCGAGAUUCCGGUCGUCGGCGGCACGGGUGCGUUCCGGUUGGCCCACGGAGUGGCGUUGGCCCAAACUUAUUCUCUGAAUCCUGUAACUGGGGAUGCUGUUGUAGAGUACAAUGUGACCGUGGUGCAUUAGUACUCUUUGUUUUGUAAGUACCUUUUAAAUUAGGUUAUUAUGCAUGAGUAUCCGAUAAAAAUUGUUGAGAAUAACUGACCAUCCCCAGCGCAAAUGGCAAAAAACUUGGUGGUUGGUAUCCGAGAUUGCAAGUUCGAAGCCUAAUUUCUUUAUAUUUUCAGCUAAGUUUGUUUCUAAAAGAAAUGAAUAAACCGGGUAGCAUGCUAUCUUCCCCCCCCCCAAAAAAAAGUAGAGAAUAUGCAGUUGCCUUGAGAUGUGUGCAAACAUAUUAUAAUGAUCCAGAUUGCUAGUACUAACAACUCGUUGGGCUCAAAUUAUCGGUCCAAAAUAAUUAAAUUCGAGUAUUUGUAAUAGAAUUUUAGUCCCUGUAUAUCCCAAUUACCCUUGGCAUAAAGGGACUAGCAUCCUUCCGUGUAGUGGAAGGUCAGGGUGCGCCGAGUCACGUCCAAAAUGGCGGGAGUUCCAGCCGGACCAAGUGAUGUUUGAAGUGGCAAGAGACUAAUUGGACCGAAUCACAAUUGAAAUUUAGACAUUGUGCCGGUACGCUUUAAGUAAAUUAAUUAUAUAUUUUUAAUAUUUUAAGCUUUUAAAAUUAAUGAUUAGCAUACUUUUUUUCUGACAAUUUUGUCAGGGAAUAGUUGGUUUUAAAAUCUGAAAUUAUUUUUUUCAUUUAAGCAUUGAAAAUUAGAGUAAAAUUCAAGGAGCAACAGAUUAACUUAUCAUGAGCAAUAAAGCUGAUUUCAUAUAUCUUUGUCACACAUGAAGAAUAAAAAAAUUUAGGCUAAAUUACAAAAUCCUCUUUUGCAUUUUGUUUCGUGCCACUAUCAUCACCUUGCAUAAAAUUUUACUUCAAUUUAAACUCUGUAUUUUACCACUAUUACAAAUAAGGUCGAAAAUUUAAAAUGAUUAUUAAAUUCGAAUGUAAAAACUUCACCGAAAUGAUCAAUAUUUGACGUGUACUAAUUCCAUAAUUAAGCAAUUAUUUAGGUUACAACUUAUAUAAUAUAUCUAAAACUUAAAUAAAGGAAACGUUCUGCAUAAUUAAAGUUAUGAAAAUGAGCUACUUAUCGAGUUACUUAUUUAAUUUAGAUGAUUAUUGAAUAUAAUAAUGGAUAUCAAUCAACUCAUGUUUAUAAAAUUUUACGGUCCAAUUCAACGACCAUCACAAAUCUUUGAGCCCAUUCGAUACAGUGAUAAAAUAGUCGAAUCGUUAGCACUAAUCAUUAAUUUUAAGAACUCAAAUUAUAAAAAAAAUACAAUUAAUUUACUUAAAUCGUACAUAUAGUGCCAUGGGUCUCAAUUUGAGAUGUACGUGGCCGAACUACAAAUAUAAUUCGGCUCAACAUGAUCCCCUGUCAUUUCAAACAUGACUUAGUCGGUCGGUCCUAUCUAACUUUUCGACACAAGACAGAAUGCUGGUCCUUUUAAGUCAAUAAAAAAUUCAAAUUAGGGCAAAAUUUUAUACAAGGUAAUUAAGAAAGAAAAUAAAGUGCAUGCAAGAAGGGAGUUUGUAAAUUUAUCCACAAACAAGAGGGAAUAUAAGAUGAAAAACGCAAUAAAUUUAAAAUGCAAUAAACAUAUAAUUAAUAUAUAUGAUUUGCUUCACUUAUAAUUGAAGAAGCAUAUAUGCACGUAGUACAAUUCGCUACUUAAUUAGUAGCAAAAACAAAUGAUAAGCUCAUAAGCAACAUGAUGAUCAUAAAAACCCAAUGCUAACCAAUAAUCGCGUACGUAAACAACAUAUAUAUAUAUAUAAUACAUAAAACACAUCAACCAUGCAUAAAACAUCACACCAUCAUAUAUAUAAGAACACCACAAACGAACACAGCAUCAUAACCACUCCCUCUCUGAUUCUCUCACACCCACUGUCGUAAGGAGUGUUAUCCACCAACGGUAAUUGGCUCCCUCCGUUCAACCCCUGCAGCUGCUGCUGCUGCUGCUGCUGCUGCUGUUGCCCGAAGCCCGAUAACGGAUGCUGCUGCUGCUGCUGCUGCGGUUGCCCGAAGCCGUUCGACGUCGGUUGCCCGAACGGAAGCGCAGUUCCUGAUCCGCUCCCGCCGAUAGUCGGAGGGAGAACGCCAAAUGGCGAUGGCGGCGGGGGCAGGUCGAUACCGGAGGGUGCGGAGAAUGGAGGGGUGUAUUCGAUUUGUUCCGACGGCGGCAGCGGCGGCGGGGGAAGUAGCUGAGUUGUGUCGCCAUUGUCGCUGCCGUCGCCGCCGUCGUCGGUUGGUGGAGAUUCUGCGGUGUCGGGGAUGGGCGGGGGGAGCGGCGGCGGUUGGUCGAGCGGGAGGCCGGUGUCGCCGCCCGCGAAGUCGUCGAAGUGGUUGUAACUGGUAAUGGUGGUGGCUUUGGAGAGUGGGGAGAGGAGGAGGAGGAGGAGGAGGAGGAGAGAAGAGGAGUGCUUCAUGGUUGGUUAGUUUUGUUUCUUGGUUCUUGAGUUGGGGUAUAUGAAUAAUGGAGCAUGUCACACACACACACACACAUAUAUAUAUAUAUAACUACACACAUAUGUAUAUGGGGAUUAAGAGGAGGUUUGGUGCAUGUUUCUGAUGCUCUAUAGUGGAGUAGGAGGUUUCUGUUGUAAAGGAGAAAUUGUUGCUUAUACCCAGUGUGCUCGUAUAUCCUGUGCACCAUAUGAAAAAAAAUAUAUGAAACAAUUAGCUUAAGUUAUCGUGUACACCUGCUCAUAUAUAUUUUCCAUAUUAAUAUUCAAUGCUUCAUCUUACGUCAAGACGUGAACUUGAAUCAGAUAAGAUUGCAGAUCUAAUAGAAUUCGAAUUUAGAAUCUUUAACUCUGACAUAUUAUAAAAAAAUGUAAAACAAUCGAUAAUUUUCAAAAGCUUAAGCUAUGAGGGAAUCAUGCCUUUUACAUACAUAUUGAGUCAUUCAUUAUAUCUCGCGCUUUAAUCUCUAUUGUCCAACCACAAUCAAAUUAUAUUGAUUUUUUUUUUAAAAAAAGGAUAUAUUUUAGAUGGUUGAGAUUGAAGUGUAAGAUUAAUUAGGCAGAUAGAGCUGCAUCUGGUGCAGGAAAUAGUUUUAUCUUCUGAAAGAGACAUUAGUAAUGGGAGAGGUGCAUAUUGGUGGGAUGGAUUUAGUGGGGCUUUAAGUGGAUCUGUUGAGAAAGGGGGUACAUGGCAUGUAUGUAUUUGUGUGAUUGGAGUGAAAAACCUGUCCCAUUAGCUAAGGGGAUUAGGAGAUAAUUAAGAAGCCCUUAUCUUAAGUAUUUUAAUGUGUGUAUAUAUAUAUAUAUAUAUAUAUAUAUAUAUAUAUAUAUAUAUAUAUAUAUAUAUAUAUAUAUAUAUUAUAGUGGGCUGGCAUGCUUCAGGAAGCACCGAGCUCUCCAUGCUUCCAAGUUGUUUUCGAUGUUCAGACUUUCGAAUCGACGAUCGGUUCCUUAGAGUUGAUCUAGAGUAUUUGAAGUAUCUAGAAAAUAAUUUUUGUAAUUUUUCGAUAUCAUUUGCCUAGUGAUCGAAGGGGCUCAAAUCAAUAAUUUUAAUGGCCGUAGUAAGCCGUUUGCAAGUUAACGGUGUGUAGAAAUAUCCAAAUCACAUGAAAUUUUGAUAGAAAAUCUUUAUACCAUAUAAAACAAGAUCAAUAACUUUGAUCUAAAAUUUUAAUGUAUAUCAUAUUUUUGUAAGAUUUUUAUUUUCAACCGUUAAUUGAGCACUUCGGUAUCACUAGGCAAAUGAUAUUUGAAAAAUUACAAAAUUUAUUUUCUAGAUAUUUCAAAUACUCUAGAUCAAGUCUAACGGAAGCGAUCGUUGAUUUGAAGUCCGAACAUCGAAACAACUUGGAGCACGGAGGCUCCAUGCUUCCAGAAGCACUACCGGAUGCACUAAUAUAUAUAUAUAUAUAUAUAUAUAUAUAUAUAUAUAUAUAUAUCAUCAUGGGAAUGAUUAACUAGACCUGCACAAAUCCAGCCCCAUGCAUCUCCCAAUAUAUGAUUGCGCAGGUUUAGUUGAGAUAUAAUUUUUUCUAUUUAUGUUCGAUAAAUUAUGCAGGUUCAGCUAUAAUAUAAUUUUUACGAUCUUAAGAAAAUGAUAAAUUAUAUCUUUACGUGCCGUUUUGACAUUUUAUUUGACUAUGACCCUACAUUUAUUUAGAAAUUAGGGUUCAAUCCAUUAUAAAUCUCACUUUUGACUCGGUUUUGUUUAUACGCGCUCAAAAAAUAAAAUUGGAGACUCAAAUCUCAGUAAUCCAUUAGUUAUUAAAUAAAGAAAAGUAAUAAACUGUGGCAUGAAUGGUUAUAAAAGAAUAUAAAAUUUCUCAGAAACGUAGAUGCUGCAUUUUAGCCUUGUCCUGCUUGGGUAUUUGAAUUUCUUGGUUCCUGCAAUAAUUUCUUUUAUUCGGAGUGUAUACUUGGUACAAGGUCAUUAAUUGCACACACUAAGAACAUCUAGGGCAUUUUUGUUAACUUAUUUUAAACUAUAGAAUCAGAAUAUAAUUCAUUGAUUCUGAUAAUUGUUGUUUAUUUUACAAAAAUUGAAUUUCGACUUUUAUUCUAGUCUGAAAUGAAAAUGGCCAAAUCCAUUAUGACCCAAUCUUUCUUUAAAUUUCAUAUUAAUCCAUUCCCAAAAAAAACUACCGAAAAUUCUCUAUCACAAACGUCUCCCCCUGCACUUCCUUUAUCACUAUUCUUUCUCCUAAUCAAAAUCAUCUUUCAAAACUUCGAAUUUUCAUUCUGAUAAUGGACCAAAUAUUUUUCAAUGAUUCAUCAUUCCAUUUCUCAUUCCAAAACAAUCUAGCCCCCUAAUUCUCUUCCCUAUAAAAAAGAAAUAAAAAAUAAAAAAUCUAUUUCGUUAAUUUUGGAUUAUCCAAACUAGUCACAUCCAUAUGGUGCUGCUGCAAAAGAGCUAAAUUGCUAUUUACAAAACAGAUUCAUCAGAAUCUUAAUCAAAUUUAUAGUAUAUAUACACACUCUAAUCAGACUCAAUGUAUCCUCGGAUAAAUACUCAACAAUUUCAUAAUAACACUUUCAUUAGAGAGGGCUGUAGAAAGAAAGGUGUUGCACACAAACAAAAGCAGUGAUCCAACAAUUCAGAGCUUAAUUGGUAUGUCAUCAUUAGAUCGAAAAAACUUAUUGCACACACCAAAUCAAAUUUAAAUCAUUCGAAAUGUUAUAUCUGAUAAAUACUGCACAGAGAAUUCUGAUAAACGUCCUCCGAUCAAUCGAGGAAAAAUUAUUAUUGAUUGUCCCUCAGUUAUAGAAAUAAUAAUGAGUACAAAAUGUCUUAUUCUAUAGAUGGCUACAAAAUUAGCAAAAAUAAUAAUGACCGAUAAUACAGAAAUGCUCGCAAACAUUCAGAUUGCCUGCUUUUUCGAUCUUAUUCAUGGUAUUCACAGAUCAGGAGGAUCAUCAAGCAGCAAUUUUCUUUGAGGUCACCGAGUUCACAAUAGUGGCAAACUCCGGGCCCUGCACAAACGCAGGAAGACAUUUGAAUAGGUGAACUUCUAGGUGUCAAAUUUCUGGUAUUAUGGCAUAAUCUCAUGGGAAAAAUGAAUCAAUUAUGGCACCAAACUCAACAGGAACACUAUAAAAACAAAGGAAAUUAGUAAUACAGAUGGCGAGAUUUUGACAAUAAUUAGUUCCAAUUUGUGAGACAAAAGGUAACACAAAAACAUUGGAAGUAAGUGUUCUUCUUUUUUAAAUAAGAGAGCUGAGCAUCAUUAAAAUCUUGUUUAUAUCUAACUUAUUAAUAUCUUAGUCUUAAUAAAACUAUAUUAAUGUGGAAUAAAACUAUAUUAAAGAAGAUGUUGUGCUUCUCAGAGUGCUAAAUUCUAGUGAACUGAAGGCCACUUUCAAAUUUCCAGAAUUUGAGUGUGCUCUGAAGUCUAUGAAGUCACAUUCUAACUUAAUUAAGCUGUGAAUCACUAUAAAGGACGAGGUAAGAUCAUGAUUAAUUUGGUGCUACAUUACAAUACCUUCAAUGAGGCCCCUCCGACAAGAAAUCCAUCAAUAUCUUCUUGUUUUGCAAGCUCUGCACAAUUGCUCCCAUUUACUGAACCUGUUAAUAGAAGCAUAAAUUAUCGCUCGGUUCAUUAUACAAUUAUAAUGUUAGCAUAGCAUAGAAAGCAAGCAAAGAAGAUACAUAUCACACUAUUCACUCAGGUUUACAUGCAUCGUGAAUUUCAACGUAGGUUUGGAAAGGGAAAGGUUGAUGAACAUUCCUUUCAUAUUCCUUUGAAUAGUAAUACUUUAGUAACAUGAAAUCUCCCAUAUGCAACUGAUAAGUUACUUUUCCAUUGGCUUGUGUAUCGUGCCUUGAAAGUAAGAUGUUUCAGUGAGCGAAUAAGUAUCACUAAAGGCUUUUUGGGUGAAUGACACUGAUAAUCAUGCUUGCUAAAAAAUGGUACUCAAAAAGCUUCUGGAUCGUUUCUGACAUUACAAUUAACAAACUAACAUGAAUACCUAAAAUUUUAGAAUAAAGUGGGUAUUCUAAAUAUAACUUUCUCACCUUAUAGAAUAUGCACCGACGGAGAUAGAGAAAGAGAGAUGGUAGACUUACCUCCAUAGAUAAUACGAGUAGCAGAAGCAACCUCAGGCGAAAUGUUCUUUUUCAGCCAAUCGCGGACAGCAACAUGCACUUCCUGAGCCUGCAGGGGAGUGGCCACUUUUCCGGUGCCAAUAGCCCAAACUGGCUCGUACGCAAUAACAACAUCUGUCCAGCUUGAGAUACUAUCUGAACAAUAACUCAAAAGGCGUGUAUGAGAAUUGAUUUUCAUUAAAAAAAAUUUCUUCACUAAAGACAAGCUACUUCACAAUAAAAUUACAAAAUCAUUACCUGCAAAAGCCUUCAACUGCUGAAAACAGACCUCAAAAGUUUUCCCGGCUUCCCUUUCUUCGAGCUUCUCUCCUAUACACGCAAUAACCUUAAGAUUCUGACUCAAGGCAUACGCAGCCUUCUUACCAAUAAACUGCACAUAGAAAAGGCCACACCAUAUUAUGACCACUUCAAAUAUCUUAGCACCUAACCGUAUUGAUAUGUUUAGAUUGCUACAAUGUGGGCUGUAUAUGAGAAAAGAGUAGUGUUCAGGAUAGUGUACCUCAUUAUCUUCACCAAUAAUAUGCCUGCGCUCAGAAUGCCCCAGAAUAACCCACUUGCAGCCAACAUCAAUCAGUUGCUCAGCACUGGAAGUAAAAAAGAUUGCAUAUGGAUAAACUAUAAGUAAUUCAAGAAAUCGAAAGUCAAUGUUGUUGUUUCAGGUAAAAGAAGAGGAAAAAAAAAAAUUUCGAAUCUAGUGUUAGUUCGCAAAUUACAGAUAGUUUGAUGAAUAAAAAAUAUGUUAGAACCUAUAGAUAGAAAUUAUGGACUACAUAUCAAUAAGUAGGUGCAAUACUGGGAUAUAAUUAAGAAAGAGCAAAGUAAAAACUUAAUUCUUGGUGCAUUCCAGUAAAAGCUCCAGUAGAAAUACAAUUUAGAUAAGUUUAACAGGUUUUUACCUGAUUUCUCCAGUAAAAGCUCCACCUUUUCCAACCCAAGCAUUUUGACCAGAUAUCUCAACACGAUCAGUCAGUGAAGACUUGACCUGGUCAAUAUAUACGAAUGGAGGUGCUACGACAACAUCUGCAUUUCCACCGUAAAACAGAGACCUAAGAAAUCUUGUAAAACCAAGCAUGCAAAUGAACAAAGGAAAAAAAAAAAGCAGAACGCAAAUAACUCUUUCUUGGUACAAUCGAGAGCUUUAAAGACCAAAUUUUGAGAUCCAGAUAAUAAUAUGAACAUACUAUAUCUAACGUAUGUAGCCUACAACGAAAAAAAGCUAAAAAAGAUGGAGAGUCAACUGGAGAGUUUGAAACGAAGUAAUGCUCUGUUCAGUCAUAUGCAGUGGGAUGAUAGACCUGGAAUGUGCUUAUAAAAGUUGAACAAUUGGGGGUCAUAGAAAGCAAUGCAUUCAAGAGGUGGGGGGAGGGGGGAGGAGGAGGGGAGGGACGCUACAUUCCCCAAGGUUCCCGCCCCCCCCUUCAAAACACAAAUCUCUGUUUGUAGGGUAUUUUGCUGUUAUACGGUGACAAUGUGUCCAUGUGCGUACGCACCUGAGAAGUCAAGAAUGUUUUUUAAUUUUUCAUAUGCUACAAAAGAAAUAAAGCGAUGCAGAUGAAAAUAGGAACUUCAUUUGAUAGGGACAACAAGAAGCAGCUGAUAAUCAUACCAACAUCAUUUUCCAAUGUAGCUCCAUUCAAAUCAGAGACAAGUUUGCUGAUAGAGUCCUUUGUUCCAUUCUAAACACACAAUAUAUCAACAAUAUAUCAACUAGUCAAUUAGGUAUAUACAAAAAAAUUAAAGAAAAGGGUACGACAAACGAUCAACAAUUUGAAAGAUGAAAGCAUAAACAUAACGUCACAGUUCAACAGCCUUUAUGAUCGCUUUACCAGGUUCCAAAGUGUGAACAGGGAAAGAACAAUAUGAAAAUGAUGUGAAAUGUAGUAAUACCGGCACUAAAAGCGGUCAAAGGUAACCAUGCAAUGAAGUCUGCAUAUUCUCAUUCUUAUGGCAUAAUGGAAAAUCCAUUGUCAUUCGUUGAAGAGUUAGCUUUCUUCAGUUGCCCUAUAACAUAAAACAUACUGAACAGUCUCUCCCCCCACCCCCAUGUGUGUCUAUCAUGUGUGUGUGUAUAAACCCGCCUACGGGUGUCCCCUAUUUACUCUCUCCCUCUCUCCCUCCUUCCCCCGCCCAGGUAUUCUCUUUCUCUUUCUCCAUGUGUGUCUAUGCGGUGUGUGUGUAUAAACCCGUCUAUGGGUGUUCCAUGUAUGUUUAUAUACAAGCACCAUAUGAUAUUAGCGUAACCUAAAGAAAGGACCAAUAACAGAAAGAACAUCAAUCUUCAUACAUAAAGCUAAGCAUAUCUGCUGAGCAUUUCAGAGUUAACUUGCAAAAAAGCUUCAACUCUUUCAGUUAACAAGCUGGUUUCUUGCUCCUACUGUCACAAAAUCCACAAUAUCCCUUCCCUACCCGCGCCCUCGUGAUGAGACCGUAUCAUUGGCACUUAGAGAAGUACAAAGAGAAAAUAUUGUAAAGCAAGACAAAGUACUCACGCAUUUCCAGUUGCCUCCAACAAAAAACUGCAAAAAAAAGGGAAUAAGAGAGGCAUUAGAGAGCAUACAACAGAGAAAAAUCAGACAAGUCAUCUAUAUUAGUACAUGAGAACCAAGAUGUAAAUAUUGCUCCAGAGGAGAGCACAUGUUCAACAUGGGCAGCAUUGAAACAGGGCAAAAGACAGCCUCUCAAGCACAAUCUCAUUCAAAAGGCCGAACACAAUAGUCAAAUAACUGAAGUAAGACCCAACAAAAAACAUGAUCCGCAUCUCCUGCUACAAGAAGAAGUAAAUUACAUAUAAGUUUUUAGUUCAUUAUUAUCAGAUCUCCUGUUGGGCCUCUACUGUUUGUUGUUAAUGGCCAAGUAUACUUAUAUCUUAAACACUGCAGAAAGGUUAUCUUACUUUUAACAGUUUUCACCAACUUUAACAGUAAGUAAGAUAUCAGAUUUAUAACCAAUUCAUUUAGACAAUGUUGGCUUUGCCAGGAAAUCAGAAAAUUUGUGGUUAUUGAUCAAGAACCAGGGUGAUGGAGCAAAGGAAAGAACUCUCGGUAAUUCACCAAGACCCCAAACAUGCUUUAUAAGUGGAGAAAUAGCAGAUAUUGUUACAAGAUACAUUUUUUCCCCCCUAAAACAAACAAGACAAAAGGAAGAUAAAAUGUAGUCUCUUUUCGCAUGCACUAAUUAAUCAAGCCCCAGCCAGAUGAAGUGCCUUGCUUAAGCUUUCAAAGAUUAAACCAUAAGGUAAGCAACACAAAAGUAUCUGACAAGAUAUUUUAAAAGGAAAAAACCAACAUUGAUAAACUAUUAAACUGAGACACAUUCUAUUACAGUUUUCUACUAAAAAAUGUGAUUUUGAUCUGGGAAAAACAAAGAAAGGAAAGAAAAUCAGUUAAUAUAGUGGUUUGGAUAAAUCGAUAACAGCAAACAAUGUAGAAUUUUUAGGCUUUAAGAGGAAUAAUGGAAAAAAAAUCACUAGCUUUUCUUUCUAAAUACUAUAGUUGAUAUGUUGUAUUAACUUAAACUCAUACAUUAUACUACACAUAUCUUCCUAAUCAGAUCCAAGUUUUCAAAUUUAUCAUAAAAUCUCCAAUAUCCAUCUAUCUAUUCGCCAAAUUCCCAAACAAUAUACACUAAUAUCCACCAAAAAUCGACCUUAAAAGAUCAAAAAGAAAGCAAAAAUCGCGAAAAAAAAGGAGCCACCUUUCCCGAUCCGGCCAUGGCGACGACCCCUCUCGGAGGCCUCCGAGAAGAAGAAGCGACGCGGAGACGAGACGCCGCGCGAUCGAAGAAGAGGGCGUUGGUGGAGGGAGACGACGCCGACGAGGGCUCGCCCUUGGAGCCUCCUCCGCGGCGGAGCCCCGCGAAGUUGUGGGAGAUGUGCGACGCGAGCGAGGACGACGACGCCGCCAUUGUUGUCGCCCUCGAUCUCCUCCUCCUCCUCCUCCUCCUCCUCCUUGCCCUAGAAAAGCUCCGCCCCUCUUUUUUACCUCGCUCUGAGCUACUUCUUUGUGUUUGAAGGUAGAGGAUAAAGAGGAGAGCCCUUCUCCUUCGGACACGUGUCCGUCGUAGAUCGCGAGGGGUGGUGGUUGGGUCGGAUGGUUUGGUGGGGUCGGUGAUCGGUACAUAACAGCGAACAGCCACGUGGUUCCUGCGUCGUGGCGCAUUUUUAGUGGUGGUCGUACGGAUUUUCCUGUUCGGAGAUUACGCUGAAUCUUGGUGGUAGUUGGAAUUUGAUUGGAAAGAGAUUUAAGAGGUGGCGAUGAGAACCAUGAGAUAGAUCAUAGGAUCAGAGUGAUUCUUAACAACACCCUCUUGGAUAAGGUUAAGAUACCAUAUUUACUUUUUUUUUUUAAUAAAAAAUGAAUUGUAUUUUUGGUCCUCAAAUUUUUUAAAAAAAUGCAUAAUUGUUUCUUUGGUUUAAAUUUUUUUAAUUAUUAUAAUUAAUUUAUAAAAUCCAAUUUAAUUAACUGUAUAUUAAUAUUUUACUAAUGUAGUAGAGAUAUAGUAUUUUAAUGAAUAUCAUAUUAUCCGUUACAACAUUAUUGUAUUAGCGCCACAUUAUUAUUUACACAAUUAGAUUGGACUGUAGAAAUUAUUUAGAAUAAUUUAGUUAAAAAUUAUAUAAAAUUAAAGUUUGAUAACCAAAAAUAGAAUUUAAUCUUUAAAGAUGGAAAAAUAUUAAGUUUGCAACUCAGAGAUUGUAAUACCUAUAACUCCUUAUCUAAGAGAUUGUAGAGUUUACCAUCGACUAGUAAAAAAAAAAGGGUCAUUGGUUGAGCAAGAUUGUAAGAUUAUAAUCCAAAAUAGGUGUAGACUUAACAUUGUCCUUAAUAUAUAGAGAGAGAGAGAGUGCGCGCUAGGGUCUUAAACUAUUUAUAGUAUCAAGACUUUGAUACUAUAGUCUCAUUUUUGAUCUUAGGGUGUUCAAAUUAAUGAUUCAUACUGUUCAAACUGAUUUAAGGUAUUUAAAAUUUUUUGGAAUAAACUUUUAUACUUUUUCGACAUGGUUUACUUUAUGAUAAAAAAUUUUCAAAAUUAUUAAUUUUCAAUAACUACUAUAGCGAGUCUUUUUUUUUUUUUUGGAGAGAUUACUAUAGCGAGUUUGUAAUUUAACAAUAUAGAAAAAUUUAAAUUUACUCAAAUUUUGCUAGAAAAUACUUUAAACUAUCUAGAUCAAGAACAGUAUUUUUUUUAUCUUAAAUUCAAAAGUCCUAUCAUCAAAUUUUAAAAAUUGUUUAAUUUUUUUUUGAGAAAAAAGUAGCGCUACCCGCUUCGUUUAUUCAAAAGAUAAAUUAAGCUACAAGAAUGAGGCAUCACAGGCCUCGUUUGUGGCAAAACGAAACAGAAAAAAAAAAAAAAAAGCUAUUACAUUGGUGUCUCCUCUCCACUGAGCUAAGUUUCUCCUACUAAUUCGUCAACUGUUUAAUCUUGUAGAUUCCAAGACUUGGGUCUGGGUUGUCAUCCGAAAGAUGGCCCUAGUCUUGGUCUCCCAAAUGAUCCACCAAUAAUCUAUUAGUCCAAUAUGACCGUUACUCAUCAAUUUUAUAGUGUGAAUCCUAAAUCUGAAAAUUUGUUCAAUUUUUACUGUUCAAUUUGAUAUGAUACACUUACUAAGUAAACGACAUCGAAAAAAAUUAAAAUUUUAUUUCUAAAAAUUUCAUAUACUUCAGAUUAUAUUUAACAGUGUGAAUUACUAAUUUGAACACUCUAAAAUCAAAAACAAAACUAUAGUAUUUAAACUCUGAUACUCUUGAUAGUAUAGUAGCCUGAUUCUCUCUCUCUCUCUAUAUAUAUAUAUAUAUAUAAAAGAUACCCUAGUUUUCUUUCGGGUUAUUUGGAUAAAUUACAUAGGAGUUCUCCCAUCUUUUACCCAAGUUUCAAUUGUAUUUGUAUCUCUAAUACUCCAAUUGUUUUGUUUUUUUUAAACGAAAGAUAAUAUACCUAAGAUUUUAAGUGCCCGUCGACACGGACCGUAUCAACUGUACCAUGCCAACAAGAUACUGAGACGAUACAGACCUUAUGCUGAUCACAGUUCAAAAUUCUCUAUUCUUUAAAUUAGUAAAUAAUUUUUUUAAUAAAAUUCAAAAAAUAUGAUAAAAAAAUAUAAUAAAUAAUUAAAAUAUUUUGUUGCUAAAGAAAAUAAAUAUUUCAUUCUAUUAUGUGUCAACAUAUAAAAAAUUUUUUGACCGGCACGCAUUGGCACAGCUCGGCACGCACCGUGCCGGCAAAUUUCCGACACGACCCUAUACCACGGUACUUAAAUCCUUGAAUAUACUAUUCCCUGCAUUUAUUUUUUAGAAAUAAACUUAGCCAAAAAUAUAAAACAACUAAAUUUCAAACUUAGAACCUCUGAUAUCAAUCACCAAACUAUUUACCAUUUGCACUGAGAACAGUCGGUCUAAUGCUCUAAACAGCCUUAAAAAUAGAGGAAAACAGGAAAUACACGAAAACUAAACACCAGAUUCUUUCAUAUUUCAACUGGCAAAACUGAAUGAUCCAGUUCCCAAUUCAAAUUCAAUUAAAUUUUGUCAAAAAAAUCAAAUCAAAUUCGGAAAGAUUCAGAAAAUGUUCGGAAGUUUUAGCGGAAUUGAGGGUUAAAAAAUGUCCUUACGGUAAGACAUAAAAAUAAGGACCACAAGCAAGAACUUGAAUUAUCUUCUUCUUCCCCUAUUUUUUUUCAAGUUUUAAACAUAUGGAACAUAGAUCUUCUUUGAUAGUAGUGUUAUCGACUCGGAAACGCCUCCGUUGAACACAAGGCCACCUUUGAGUUUAGCCCAUAUCGUUCACUUAAACAGAUUCCAGUUUCCCAACAGGCCUAAUGAAGCGAUGGUUUCAUAGCAAUCUUUCGACGCCACUCCGUCUAAUUCGGGCUCGAAGGUCCAGGUCGGUAAAAGUACAAAUUUACAUCGGCCCGUUGGAAUCAUAAGAAAAGAAUUUGAAAUUAAUCUAUCACGUGGUGAAGUGCAGUACCGCCUUCGAGGACAAAUUCAAAUUUCUGAAUCAUUCUGCUGAAUAUUCUGACAACCUCCUCAGGGGGUGCAGAGGUUCUUUAAGUCUUCCUCCUUCGCGUAAGAGGCCGGAAUGAUCCUCGAUGCGUAGGGAUAGAGAUCUUUGUAAGAGUUUCUAAUGGUGCCUUCGGCGACUCCAGUGGCCACGGAUAUAUCUGCGAAUUAUAGCGAUGUUAGUGCAAGGAAUAAAGCAACUGAACCAAACAGGAGAUUCAUAAUUGUAGAACCUUUGAGGGGCUUCUUGUCAUCAGAUAGCUGAGUUAUCAUGUAAAUUAUAGCUGCCGCAAUCGAUAUUGGACUCCGCCUGCAUAAGUGUGCAAAGAGCAGAAUGUAAAAACAUUUUCUCCGAACUAAUGUUCAGGAAAGAAUCAUAAGAACUGCUGAUACUUUACAUCGUUUUUCGAAUUUCAAAGAAAAAAUGUACACUUUCUAGUAAUGAUGCAAAACAAUGUACAAGCAAUUUACGUCACCCAAACACUUGCUCGAUGGUAAGGGGUGCAACUCUGACAGGUUGGGCCAGUUGAAGGACGAACCCGUACCCAGCUAACAUAUCACAGUUCCAACCACAAUUCAACCCAACCCACCCGUCUCAAGAUGAAAUAAUCAAUUAUUAUACUUUGAUGACAAGAUAAAAAACCCUUUGUCAGGGCACUGCCAACAGUACCGUAUAUCAAGUUCUUCAGACUUUUGAACUGCUUCUUGAGCUGCUUUAACUGCUUGGUUUGUCAUGCCAAGAUGUGAACAGAAACGUCUCUGCAAAUUCAAGAAAGCCAAAAUAAGAAAAGGAAGUCAGAGACCAAUAUACUUUAACAUACCAUAUAGAAUACGAAAGCAAAAAAAAUCGAUUCCAAAACAAUAUGGAAAAAUAGAAAGAGAUGUAGAAUGAAUGCUUGAAACUAACCAGGAAAUCUCCUGCAUGUAUGGUGCCCAUCUCCAUCGAUUGGCCCAUCUCACCUUCAAGCUGCUUUACUAUGAACUCCUUUGCUCUCCCAAUUUCUUUCUUUGUUGCUCCAUUAGCAACAGAACAGAUUUCUGGUUUGGAGUGAAAUAAAAAAGAAAUACUUAUGGGGAACAAGUAAGAAAAGUGACAUAUAUCCAGAGUUUAGAUUAGCUAUAUACAUCUACCUUUCACAGUGCGGGGCCUAUCUUCUUGCCUACAAGCGAUGUAUAGACAAGCAGCUAAGAUCGCAUCUUGGUUUCUCCCUCUAAUGGACUUGAGAUCUUCCACUUUCUUAUAAAUCUCAUUCGCUCGAUCCUUGAGAAAAGAAAUAGGAAUUCUUGUUAAGUACACAACAAUUAAUUCAAAGCAUUAUAUUAAAUGGAAGCUCAGACACCUGGGUCCAGCAUGAUCACCCAGGAACCAACUUAAAUUGGCUCAUUUACAACAUAAGUACAAACUCCAUAGUACUCAUGAAACAAAUUGUUGCCCACAUAUAUGACACUCAAUAGGACCAAAUCCAAGGUGUUGUGUCCAAAUAUAAAGCAUUUUUAAUAGAAACUACUGAGAUCUCGCAGAUUAGGAAUGAAUUGUAAAAUUACAUUCCAAACAAAUUUCACAGUUAAGAUGUCUUUAUAGGGAUUGCAUCUUUCAAUCAAGUUGCAUUAGAAAGUGUUAGCUCGCAUAUCACAAAAGGAAUAGCAUGUUACAUCUGGUUGUAUUUGAUCAUAACGUUGUAUGCGUGGGUUUGGUAGGAGAUUACAAGACCUACUGACCAAAUAAAACGAGAACUUGAUGAAUAGAACAACAUUAGCAGGCACAAUAGAUGCUUUCCUUCCAUUUAGAGGUUGAAUGCUAUCACAGAUACAACGAAAAGUUGUAUAUUUUUUUAACAGUCUUAAACUUUAAUAAAAGAUGACAUUCGAGAAGAGGAGAAUCUUAGUGGAACUUAUAUGAUUUCAAAGAGAAUUAUAACCCCUAAUUUGUGGUUACCAAAAAAAAAAAAAAAAAAAAAAAACUUAAAAUAUAGUUAUUGUAUGAAGAGAAUUGUGAUAUUUUCUCAUAACUAAUGGUGAAACUUGAAAUUUCGAUACCUUUUACAUUUACAAUUAACUGCUAGUCGAUCAUUAACUUAGACGGAAAAUGGAAGAAACCUAGUCAGAAUCAGCAUCUCAUACUAGUUUAUGUCAAGUGAUAAAAAUUCACGCAAUACUUACAGUUCAGAAUGAUUGAAGUGCAAAUUUCUUACCUUAAUAGUGGCAACAAGACCCAACCUGGAACAAGAAAAGGUACAAGAUAAGUAUUUGCUUUAUAAACAACAUUAUUUGGAAAGAACGAAAAAGACAACGAGGGGUUACAGCUUCUACACCUUCUAUCAUAUAUGUAUAUAAUCGUUCUUAAUCUCUCUCAUUUGGAAAUGUAUUUCAUCAUUCGACUAUCAAAUAACCGCUUGACGAAACGAGGAGAACUAUGUAGCAAGCAGAGCACUGAGGUGCUAUAAAUACAAACCGCCACACCUCAAUAAUGUUUUAAAUCAUCUACCACAAAUUCGACAAUACUUCACCAGGAAGCUCCGCGAAAUACUAAAGCAGCAAAGGAAACAUUUUUCUUUUCCUAUUCCCAAAACUUAUAUAAAAAAAAAAAAAAAAAAACAUCUUUAACACUAACGAUAUGCUGAAACCCUAAAUCCUGCGAUCAUAGAAAGCGCUCAUCCUAAGCUCGCUAAAAUCCCAAUCAGAUCAAACCCAAAACCAAACCCCUCAACCCCCUAUCCCUAAUUCUGAAUCACGAGCACCGUGAAACGACUUUAGACGCCCAAAUCGAAUCGAAAAUCGACCGCGUUCCGACCAAACCCUAACCCUAGUACAGCGCAUUGCGCACGAAAUCGAGCCGCGAUUGAAGCACGGGAGAGGGCCGAGGGAGAGCUCACCGAUCGGCCAUGGUGGCGAUGGUGCGGAAGGCGAGGAUGAGGGAGCGGUCGGGGUUGGCGCCGCGGUUCUGCCAGCGGCCGAGGGAGGAGGUGAGGAACUCGCCCUGGGUGCCGUUGGGCUUGGCGAUGACGGUGGAGAGGCCGCCGUCGGUGAGGAGGGGGUUGGCGGGGCCGCCGACGCGGACGGGGUCGUUGUCGCCGGACUCGUUGGCGAAGGUGCGCCACUCCGAGGUCUCGUCGAUGGAGUGCGCCUCGAGCACGAGCCCGCACUCGUAGCACACCGUGUCCCCCGCCGAGUGGUCGAACACCACCUCCGUGCUCCGCUUGCAAUCCGGGCAAAACGCGUCCCCCAUUGUUGCCCCCGCACCUCCCCCCCGAGCUCCGUGGGAGAGGAGAAGAGGAAGAGAGAGAGAGAGAGAGAGAGAGAGAGGAAGAGGAAGAGGAAGUAGAGGAUCGAGGAGUUAUUAUUGUCGUGUAGUAAACCAGUAAAAAGAGUAGAGAAGAGUUGUGAAAUUUUAUGGAAAAGCCCCUGUUCUACCACUUUAUUUGACUUCGACUAUUUGAAUUUUCAAUUUGCUCCUGCAGUUUCUGGAAAUUUUUAACUUGUUGUCCAGGGAACUUCCAAAUGUUGCACCUAGUUAGUUAACUAUUAUCUGCUUUUGGCAUUGCUUCACUGUUAAGAAGAUAGAAGCCAUUAUCCUAUCAAAUUAUUUUAAAUGAUCGGAAUUUCAAAUUGAUAAUCAGCACCGUUGAAAUUGAUCUAUACUAUUAGAAUCAUUUAGAAACCGAAUUUUAUAAUUUUUAAAAAUUAUUAUCAAGUCCAUCAAAGAGUCGAAAGAUGAACAGCAAAAUCAAAUAACCUUUUGAAAACAGAGCUUGGACUUUCUCAAUUUACGAUCAGAGUUAUUGAACAUUAUUUAAAUAGUAUAAAGAAUUUUCUAUCAAAAAUUCAACCGGUUUGGAUUACUCUAUAUCGUUAAACAAGCAAACGGCUCAUAUAGGUUGUCAAAAACUGUCAAUUUUGCAACCCUUUGAUCACUAUGUAAAUAAAUUUUAAAAUUUAUAAAAUUUAGUUUUUAGAUAAUUCAAAUACUCUAGAUCAACUUCAACGGUUCCGAUCAUCGAUUCAAAUUCUUUAUCAUAAAAAACGAUUUGAUAGGACGAAGGUCCCUAUUAUCCUAAAAGAAUAGCAUCUGGAUUAUAUAUAUAUAUAUAUAUAGAGUGAGGCUACUAUGCUUCUGGAAACACGGAGCCUUCCGUUAGCCUCACUCUAUAUAUAUAUAUAUAUAUAUAUAUAUGUAUAUAUAUAUAUAUAUAUAUAUAUAGAGGGCUGGUAUACUUCUGGAAGCAUGGAGCCCUCCGUGCUUCCAAGUUGUUUUCGAUGUUCGGACUUUCGAAUCGACGAUCGCUCCGUUAGAGUUGAUCUAGAGUAUUUGAAGUACCUAGAAAUAAAUUUCGCGUUUUUCGAUAUCAUUUGCCUAGUCAUCGAAGGGGGCUCAAAAUCAAUAAUUUUAACGGCCGUGUGAGCCGUUUGCAAGUUUAACGGUGUAGAAAUAUCUAAAUCACAUGAAAUUUUGAUAGAAAAUUAUUAUUACCAUAUAAAACAAGAUCAAUAACUUUGAUCUAAAAUUUUAAUAUCAUAUCAUCAUAUUUUGUAAGAUUUUUAUUUUCAGCCGUUGAUUUUGAGCCCCUUCGAUCACUAGGCAAAUGAUAUCGAAAAUUCGCGAAAUUAUUUUCUAGAUACUUCAAAUACUCUAGAUCAAGUCUAACGAGCGAUCGUCGAUUCGAAAGUCCCAACAUCGAAAACAACUUGAAGCACAGAGUGCUCCGUGCUUCCAAAAGCACCCCCAGUACACCCACUAGUUAUAUAUAUAUAUAUAUAUAUAUAGAGUCCGGCUACUAUACUCUUAUGAGUACGUUCAUCUUCGUACUCAUAAGUCGUUUUUGAUGAUAGAACUUCCGAAUCGACGAUCCAUACCGUUAAACGUUAUCUACAGCAUUUAAAACUUCUAGAAAUCAAAUUUUAUAAUUUUUUGACAUCAUUUAUCUUACGAUCAAAAGGUCACAAAAUUGACAAUUUUUAACGGUCGGUAUGAAAUACUUGCUAGUUUAACAGUGUAAAAGAAUCAGAAUUGGUUGAAUUUUUGAUAAAAAAUUCUAUUCACUAUCUAGAUAAAGAUCAAUAACUCCAAUCUUAAAUUAAAGGAUCCGAUCAUGUAUUUUUAGGACAUCGUUCGAUUUUAACCGUUCAUUUUAUGCCCGCUUGAUGGACUUUAUUAUGAUUUCAAAAAUUUACGAAAUUUAUUUUCCAGAAGUCUCAAAUACUCUAGAUCAUUUUUAACGGAGUGGAUCAUCAAUUCGGAAGCUCCAUCAUUGAAAACAACUUAUGAGUACGAAGGUUUCAAUACUCAUAAGAGUAUAGUAGCCCUACUAUAUAUAUAUAUAUAUAUAUAUAUAUAUAUAUAUAUAACAUGAUAGCUAGGUUGCACCUUCUGCAAACUACACGGUGGUAUAAUACAUCAAUCUAUAAUUUUAUUUCUGUGAUUUGUAAAAAAUAUCGUGUUGUGUUCAAUAGUAGGUUUAAACAUAACAUUUUAAACCACAAAACAGCAAAGUAAAAUUAUUUUAAAGUAAGUCCGCUAAAGUUUACAUAGUAAUAAUGCAAUAAUUUUUAACUCAUUUCUACAUUUGACUCUAGAUGGAAUAGAUAAGAUAGAGUUAGAAUACUCUUAUAAGCACUAAAAAAAUUGAUACUUUCGAUUUUCUAAUGCAUGCAUGCAAAGAUCAAAAAGUUAAAAAGACCCAAGAUAUUUCUUCUGAACUAAAUCCAUAAAUCACAAUCAUCACUUAUGAAAUGAAAGAGUUGUUUGAUCAUCGGCACACAACACCCUACACAUUCCAAGGCGUAGUUAAUUUGAAAAUAAGCAGCCAAAUACAAUGAAAAAUUUUAAAAAUACUCUUUAAAUUUGUUUCCUUCAAUAUUACAGAGAUAAAGAUCACUAUGGAAAAAACUCCUUAUUUUGGCUGAGAAAAAGAGCGAAAUAAUAAUAAAUAAUAAUAAUAAUUCUUUUUCAUAGCUUUUGUUAAAAUGACAGGUUUUUUACUGUAAGCUCGAGCCCAUUAACUAGAGCAUGCAUGAAUAAUGAAACUAAUAAAGUCACCCGCGUAUUGCCGCGAACUAAUAUUACAAAAUACAAAGGAUUGAUGAGGUAAAAAAUUUUAACAUUUUUUAACUUGUCAUAAAAUAUUAAUAAAUAUAAAUAAUAUAAGAAAUAUAUAUAAGAAGAUCUUAUUUUAAUCUUUUUUUUUUGUGAAAGUGAAUAGACUAUGCAAACGCAUUAAUUUGAAAGUGAGCGAGUAGAAAGACGAAAUAUCAUAUAAAGAUGCGAGGUGAAAAGACGAAACAUUAGAGUGGAAAGAAGAAAAAAAGUUAAAAAUAAAAAACUGUAAUGCUGCAAAUUUUAUAGGACAUAAUAUAUUGAGAGGCAUAGAUUGUGUGAGGUACACACUUGGUACAUGAAACAACUACUUUGGUAAGCAUUAAAACAAUAUUUAAUGAGAAAACAAACUUGUUCCAACCUCUAUCUAGGCAUGCAAACGGCCGGAUCUGAGUCGGACAAAAUCCCGUCCAGCCUCUCGCCUCGAAUCCAUGGCAAGUUAAAAAAUAUAUCUCAUAAUCCGUCCCGUCUUGUAACCUAUCUUUCGCCAGCGCCCUGAAUCCGCCCCGCCAACUAAUAUUUUUUAUAAAAUUAUAAUAUUAUUUAUAUUUUGUAAAAUAUAAAUUAAUAAUUUUUAAUAACAUUAUAUAUAUAAUUAACAACAUCAAUUAUAAAAAUUAAAAAUAUCAACCACAAUUCAAAGCAAAAUUCAAAAGUAUUAAAUUAUUUAUAUUUUAGAUUUUUUUUUGAAAAUACAUUAUUUUUUAAAAGAUAUUUUUUAAAAUAUAAAUAAUUUUUGGGACGGAUUCAGAACGAAUCAUGGUGGGAUAGAUUUGGAGCGGGUCAAAAUUUCUUCUGUUUCCUGUCCUGAAUCCGUUUCGGAUCAUAAAAAUUACUCUAUUUUCCGUCCCGAAUCCGUUUAUUUUCUCCCAUUUACUGUCCUAUUCAAGACAAAUCCACCAACCGUUAUCCAUUUGCAUCCCUACCUUCAUCUACAUAAAUGAUUUUGUGUGGUAUUUAUUAAAGGGAAAAAAGAAACUAUUUCCCAACACUAACAUUGAUAUUUCACUCCCUAAUGUCCCUUGCACUAAAAAUUCAAAAUCUAAUUAUUUUAUAUAAAAAAAUAAUAUACUAUUUUUCUCCCAGAAUAAAAAAAAUAAAAAAUCAUAUUCCAUACUCAGGGCGAUAUUUCAAAUUUAAUUUUGAAUUCGAGAGAAUAAUUAAAACCCAUAAAAAGAAAAUUUAUUUUAUCUUGAAAACUUAGAUUUUACCUAGUAGCUAUGAAUAUAUAAAAAUAAGUUAUCCCCAUUGUCACUUCAAUUUGUAAGUUGUUAUCAUGGAUCAUGAUCUAUUAAAUACCCUUCUUGGGAAGACAAAAAAUUUACUAACUAAUACUAUUGAUGAAAUGGGCGCCAAAAGUCAUACAUAUAUAUCAGAACAAAAAUUAUAUGAGCAUCGUCUCCAAACUUCUAGUUCAGGGACGAUGCGAAUGGGCGCCGCGUGGUGAGCGCCCCGCGUUUUUCUUUAGGGGCUGUUUGAUUUGACGUAAAAUUGGAAAAAAAAAAUUUCGGUGGAAAAAAUUUUUUCGGAGGAAAAUAAAUUUUACGCUCUCUAGCAUUUGGUUUGUAGAAAAAAAAAAAAAAUAGUUUUCCGUUACGGUUGUUUGAUUGUUAAUUGAAAGAAAAAAAAUUUAUAAAUAAAAAUUAUCAUAUAUAUAUAUAUAUAUAUAUAUAUAUGAUCAUAUUACAUAUAUUAGAAUUAUAAUUUAUACUUAUAAAAAAUAUUUAAAAUAUAUUAUACAUUAAUUAAAUAUAUAAUAUAAUAUAUAAUAAUAUAUAUUNAAUAAUAUAUUUAAAAAAAUAAAAUUAUAUAUAUAUAUAUAUAUAUAUAUAUAUAUAUAAUGAAAGAGAGAGAGAGCACGGGUCUGCUUCCCGGACUCUCUCUCUCUCAUGCGGUCCACGAGGUGAAGGGCACCUCAUAGACCGCGCGCAAAAAAGCCUCCUGAGCCGCGAUUUUUUGUGCGGUGGUUUUCAUUUUUCGCUCACAGCGAAAAACAAAAACUUCGGAUUUUCUGAGAAUGCGUAAAAAAAAAUUUUCGUGUAAAAUUUUUUACUGACCACCAAACAUCAAAAAAUAAAAUUUUACAUGAAAAAAAAAUUUUCGACUAGUUUUACAGAGUACCAAACACGCCCUUACUUUUUUUUUUUUUUUUUUUUUCCUCGUAGGGGAGGCUGAGGAUGGGCGACGUCGUUCCCAAACUUUUAGUUUGGAGACGAUACCCGUAUAACUUUUGCCGAUAUCAUGUCUAAAAACUUUUCGCUCCGACAGUAAGUACAUAUUCUCCGACAAUAGUACAUAUUGGUUUAUUGCUUUAUCAACAUUAAAUGGCAACGCAACAAAAGAGAAUAGACAUGUAAAAAAUAAACGAAGUAAUGUACUACACUACGAAUUUUGCUCCAAAAUACAUUGAGAAAUUUGACAAUAGGGAGACCUAAUAAUUCCUCAUCAGAUAAAAAUAAAAUUAUCAUUAAAUAUAUAAAAAAAUUUUACUCUUUUAGUAAUAACUAAACUUAAACAUUUUAGGACGGUAAUUUUGACCCAACGAAUUAUUAUUGCUAGCGAUCGGAUCGUAGACCCAUCUGAGCCAGGAUCGAUGAAUGGCAGACUAAGUCAGGAUCAAAAUGACAAAACUAACAAAAACGAGUCUCACAUCGCCGACUGUGUGCGCGUUUAGGAAAGAUUGAUAAGAACGUCAAGAUCCAAACAAAAAGCAUCUGUAACACCUUAAUAGUUCAACAUCGGAUGAAAAUAAAAUUAUCAUUGGAUAUAUAAAAAAACUCCACCAUAAUAAUAAUAACUAAGCUCUUUUUGGGUCGAUGAUUUUGACCCAACGAGUUAUUAUUGCUAGCGGUCGGAUCGUUACAACAAUUCUGACCAUUUUAUGAACAUAUUCAUAUCCAAUCCGGCCAAAAUCAUACAAUAGAAAUCUUAGAAACUUCAUUUAUCAAUGGAUUCUGCCGUUUGUCGAAAUUUGUUUAAAUACAAACUUGUUUAAAUGCAUCUCCCCUCAAAGCGUAACAACUACAGCAACCAAAGUUUGUUUUCGAUAUCCACGAGAAUAAACAUCAAAUAGAAUGCUGAAUGACCACCAAUAUUUAUUAAAAAAAAAAAUUGAAAUCUCAGAAACUCAUGAUAUGAACAUGACAAACAGUGGUUAAUUAACCAACCAAACAACCAGGAGAUUUUCAUUAAGAGAGCAACGGCACGCAGAGAGCGAUACCGCAUUCCAUGGAAGUUUUGCAGUCCUAGGGCGACCGUCGGGUAAAAGAUUCUUCUGUGAAAACUACAUUUUACGAUUAUUUUCACUACAAUCUGAUACGAGAAAACAGAUCAGAAAAACAUAUCAGGCCUUAUCAUGGUGAGAAGACGAUCAAAAGGUCAAGCAUUUGAGUUAAAUUAGUUAACCGAGUAAAUCCGAGAAGUUUCCACGCCGCGCUUUAUUUUACACCACUCCGGAAGGAAGGCGUAGCACCAGUUGCCCACCUACAAGACUGUAGUGGAGGGGCAAAAAAUGAAUACAAAUUUCAGUAAGAUUUUAAAAUUAUUUAUAAGGAGCAUGACGAUACCUCUUCACGUAAUAGUAGCAGAAGUCUGCGAGGAUGAAAGUCUGAACAAUCUCCGAGAGAAGAACCAUAGAAGGCCACCAACCAUAGCCCAAAGCUGUCAAUAAGCGCCCGCGAGUAUCCAAAACCUAUAACAAAAAGGUUUCACUUAAACUAUAAAGCACACUAACGUAGUUCGUAGUUCAAGAAUUUGCUAUAUUUUCUAAAUGAAUGAUAAGAACAACAGUGAUAGAAAGAAUAUUAUAAAAAGCCCUAGUUUAGCAUACGUAAAGUUGUUUGGUCAAAAAUAUAUUUGUUGCAAAAAUGCAUAAUUUGUACACUAUAGGAAAGUAAAAAAAAGAGGCCCAGUUGCUACAAAAUAUUUUAUGUUGCAGACCAAAUCAGCUCAUAACAGUGGCAGGAUAAGUUUCAUUGGCUUGAUGCUGGUAAACCAGAAAAUGUCCAAAAGACAAAACAGAAUGCCUUAUCCAGUAAUGUUUAAAACCUCGACUUUAGUCACGUAACCAGCAGGCCAAUUUUCCUCCGUAAUCCUGGAGGGAUUGCAUUAUUCCCCUGUAACUUUUACUACAAAGGCUGUCUGCUUCACUUAUUCUACCUAGUUUAGUGUUCAUGCAAAUUGACCUUUUCUAGAACUAGUAAGAGAACUCAAAAUCAUUGCUAUAAGCUCCUAAAUGAAUAUCAAGACGUUUUUAUCAUACACGUGCACAACCAAUCAGAUUCCGUGACAGCCUAAACUAAAUAGCAAAAGACAAAUAAAAGCGGGAAAGUUGCUUACCAGUUUCUUGUCACUAAUAUCUAAAGAUAAAUGGUCCGUAAAUUCAAAAGUAGAAGGCAAUCUUCAAAGUUGUAGAAAGUCAUGGCAUGAAGUAAGGAACCAGCAUAAAGUCAGGUUUGCUAAUAUGCAUUUAUAUAUGAAUGAGAGCAUGGAAAAUCAUGCAAAUCAUAAAUUUGACAUGAAAAGAAAAGUUUCUCAGCAAAUACACACUUUGAAAAGUUACUUCAAAAGAAGAACCAACCUGAAGGACCCAGUGCGCACAACUCAAAAACCUAGCUACUCCCAAGGCGAAAACAUAAUGAGCUGUGAAGGGCUCAACAAUCUGCGAAAAGAAUAAAAAAAAAAACACUAAAUUGAGGAAAAUCAGCUCCUAACUACACAAGGGUUUGUGCUUUCAGAUAUACCUUCGUGUUUUGCAUCAGUCGCAAUUGAGGUAACACUGAAACAGCUUCUAGGUAAACACAGAAAGCCCAACAAAUCCUGUUCACAAUAUUAUGUGAUGUGGAAGGAUGAAUAAGUACUGCUAGUAAAGCACAAGGCAAGACCUGAAAACGAUACAAAGACCAGUAAGUCAAUGCUGUUAAGACCUCAUUAUUAGUUCAAACUUUUGGUGUAUAAAUAUAAUCAAGAAAUACUUCAGAUUUUAACCACCAAACUUGAAGGUUUUUCUUGAAAACAUAUGGUGAAAGUAAUUUUCUUCUCCAUAAAUUAAUCACUGCACUAAAAUGUAAGUAUCUAAAUACCAACAAGUGUGGAAUAUUGAUAAUGCCUCCUUUCUUGAUUCGAUUCACCAUUUACCAGUUUUUACGGCAUACACAAAAAUUUUGCACUAAGAUCAUAUCAUGAGACAUAAUAUGAGACGAAGGGCCUGCACAGAUGCAUGAAUAACUAGUCCAGCAAAUCUCCUUCGUGUAUUCAAUAGGCAUGCCGUACUUUGUUUACAGGGGCCAUGGAAAAAUGCUUUUAUCCGCAUAGGACAAAAUGCCUCUAAAUCAUUUUUCUUGAAAUAUAAUAAAUCACCUCAAAUGUGGAAACAUACUGAAAAUUCAGGACUAUCAUUUCCCACUAACUACUAUCCUAAAAUAAUUCAAACAAUCAAAUAUACUCAAUGGUCAUCAUUUCAUUCUAAACAUGUAUUUUCUUUCAUCAUCAAACAAAAAUUGCAGGAAAAAAGAAAAAGAUAAGACUCCGAAAGGUAACUCAAUUUAGGUGAAACAGAUGAUAGCUCUGAAACUGUGAGCUUUGCCUACUAUGGCAGGGUUCAAGAAACUUAGAGAUGCUUUACCACAUAAUGGAUUGCAAAGUUGUCCUUGUCCUCCAUAUAAGAUGACUUUAGCUUAAAUCGAAUCAUAUAUAUAACCCAAAGAGUAGUCACAAGUGUAGCGGUGUCCAGCAGUGUGUGGAUGUCAUACUCCAUGACAAAACUACAAUACAAUCUAACAGCAAGAAAUAAAGCUGUUAAAUCCUGAGAUUUGAGGGACAAUCCUGCAAAUAUUUAAAACGCAAAUGAAGAACAAAUUCGAAUUAGAACAAUUGAUAGAAAGCAGAAAUUUGAGCAGAUUUGAAUAAGAAAAAUCAAACACACCUAAAAGCCAAAUCACUGAAUCCUGAUGUCAUGGUACUAAAUCAUAGCUUAAAAGUCGAUAUUAUUACUUCAUUAAAUCAAAAGAGACUAUUUGAACAGACAGGUAACUUAAAUUCUGUGUUUCCUUCAUCGGUAGAAGAAGUGUGUAUGUUGAUAUUCAGAUUAACUAUUUGAUGAUAUUCAGGCUUACAAUUUUUGCAUCUCAAUCGACUGCCUGGAAUUGAUAAAUCACCUUCUUUAACGUUGAAAACUCAAAAUUCAGAUGCCUACAGUAUCUGCAAUCAUGGAUCCCAGUUGCAGAGUCUUUCAGCACAGGUUCAUUAACCAGAUAAUAUGGUCCUAUCUCACUAUCUUCAAGAGGAUUUGGCAUAUAGGUAAUAUCUUUUAGUUCCCAAGCUGAAAACUAUGAACAGCUUUCCAUUCUCAUUGCAGACUUGUAGAUGGUGGUAUUAAGAUUAAUUUGGUUGCAAAGUGAAGUUUCAAUAGUACAGCAAGGUUAUGCUUGUAAGAAGAAGCUACACCACGCGUAUUGUCCACUUAAAAUCCUCUUGCCCACAGAAGUCCAAAAAAAAGAAGAGAUAAAACAAAUCGAACACAUCAAAGUGGGGAUGCAGUGGAGCUUCGAAGGAAUAACAACUAUGCAUGACUUGCAGUGUAAUCGUUCAAACCUUCUGAACAACACAAGGAAAUUUUUUGCUUAGGCCAACUGUGCUCGUCAUGGCUGAAUAGAGUCUCCUCGAAAAGUAUGCUUACUGUUUGGUAUCUAGUAAUUACGUCCCAGCAGUAAAGCUUAAAGAACACUAGAAGGCAUGGUCUGGGCAGUAGAAGCACUAAAGCUUCCAAAUUUAUGAGUUAAGGGAAAUUUGGCUGUCACACUUGACAUCUUUCAUCAAUGAGCAAACAGAAGUAUAAGGAGGAUGAUCAGUUUUUUGCAUUCAUAAAUUAAGGCAGACAACAUCUGAGAAAUUUCCCAUUAUCAAUUGACUGACAAUGAUAGGAAAAGAAUAGAGAGGAGAUACAGCUUUUUAUUUUGUCACAUAAAGAAUCCAAUGACUGUGUAUCUUCCGGGCAACACAAAGUUUUUUUACAACGACAUAUAUGGAAAGGUGGACUUAAUCCUCCUAAACAACUCUCUAUGCUGAAAGACAAAGGUGAAUUAGAUCUAGAACAAAUGUGAACUCAAUCAACUAGAUCUACUAUAUUCUACUUUCAAGAGCCAAUAUCAACUUCCAACCAACUACUUUAUUGUUGCUAAACAACUCAAAAAUCGACAAUAACAAUUUACUUCCCUGCUUUUCUUUCAUGUCUCCUGUCUAUGCUACUCUACUUGUUGAAGGUGGAUCUCUGGCAAGAUUACCAAAGGGCUGGAACAAGGAUCGCCAUGCCAUUGACACAGGAUGUGCCAGUAUGCAAUUGGCACAGCACGGCAUGGCAUACCAGCACGUCAUACCAUGGUACACACCCUCUUCUAUAUGUUGGCACGGGCAGUACAGCCUUCUCGGCAUAGGCAGUAUGUGAUUGCUGCGCUAGACCAUGCCAAUUAUCACAACAAUCCUUGGGUGGGAACAUUUCAAGGGACAAUAUAAUGAAGACUUCAAGCUUACUUCGCUUGAAUGUACCUUAAAAUGCUCCUAUUCCACUCAUGCACUGUAACACCUACAGUACUCAAAUUGGUACUUAAAAAAGCGCGCCUUAGGUGCCUAGACGCUAGGCUCGUCGGCCAGCGCCUAGGUGGGUGAUAUUGCCUAGGCACGCGCCUAGGCAGCCUAGGAGCAUGCCUAGAGCUAGGCGCAAGAAACGCUCAAGGCACGCCUUCUUCAUAUCUAUCCUAACGGGUUUGGAUUUAGAUCUAUAUGCUCUAAUGGGUUUGGAUCCAUAUAUUUAUUGGUCUAUUGGGUUGAAACAUCUAAAAAUAAUCCGAAAUCCUAAACUAACAUAAUCUAAAACCUUAAACGAUCAUCAAAUGACAAAUCUGGCAAAGGAGAGGAGUAUUCUUCAUCAAGUGAUGAAGAUGAUGACUGAUGAUUGAUGAUUGAUGACUGAUGACUGAUGACUGAUGAUUGAUGAUUGAGGAAUUAGGACUAAUUAACAUUUCUUGUGUGACAUAUUUUGGCUUGGAGUCUUGGACACUUCGCUUUCAUAUGAUGCCUUUUUAAUGACUUUUGGCUUGAAACUUUAAACUUUUAUGCAUGUUACUUUUUUAUGAUCUUGUGCUUAUAAUUACAUAUUUUUUAAAUCAAAGUUUGGUAUAUGUUUGUGAAUUACUAGUUUACCUUUAUGAUGGCCUUUAUUUGAAGACAAAAAGGUAAUUUGUUCUUUAUUUUUAUUUGUGUUAUUUUAUUUUCUUUAAUUAUCAUAUAUGCUACUUGGAUUCUUUUCUUUUCCUCAUUUUUUUUCUUCCGAAAACAUGGUUAUUUGGUUAGUUAUAGAAUAUUUAUUGUGAUAAUAUGAUUUUAAAAAGUAUUUAGUGCUACUUAACAAUUAUUAGAAAGCAUAGUAAAGAACUUAUUGGAUAUUUCAAAAUUCUAUUCAAGUGUGCGUCUUACCUCUCUCGGGCGCGUGCCUGCGCCUUGUGCCUUGGGUUUUUGUAAACACUAUACUCAAUUUAAUGGUUAAUGCAAGUAUCAAAAAAAUUAAAAACUGAAUUGAAAUAUAUUGACUCAAUCGUUGUUUAGUCAUUUGAUUUCAUUGAGAGCCCUAUUGCAAGUUGCCAACAAACAGAUCUAUCCUGACAAGCUGGCUUGGAGAAGAUAAUCUUGUAGUAGAUUUCUUUACAUUAAGAUGUUUUCUGUACGAUUCAUGGUCUUUUGCAUCAAUUACUCCAAUGUGAAGAUAAAUUUUGUUCAGCUUUCAUCAUUUUGCUCUGGGAAGAAACAACAUUUUGCUCUGGGAAGAAACAACACUUUGCUCGCAUCUCUUUGUACGCAUCAAGAAGUAAGCCACCGAACUCGACUAGAUAUACAGAUUUCAAUAGAUUUGCAACCCAAACCAAACAUUCCGAUGCAUUUUUUGUGUUAGCAUAAAUAACAACAUUUCAACAAACUCCUUAGGUAGGUCAUUCAAAGCUUUUCCCCUAUUUACGGGUUUACCCAAGAAGGCAUGAAUUCUCCUACUUUUGACUCAAGGUCUGCAAAUUUUCCUGAUUUUGAAUCACAGGAUUCCACAGAGGAAGUUCCAAAAGAAGACUACUUUAUCCCAUAAAUAUAUCUAAAAAGUAAAAUACACCUAAUAGAACCAAGAAACUAAGAAAUAUAACUUAAAGACCAUCUAUCUAGAUGGCCAAAAUCUCUAUUAUGAUCUACUGCAUCCACCAUUUUACCUUUGCAUUAAAAAAACAAAACUCCCGAGCCGUCUGAAUUUUGACCCAAUUACAGAUCACCAUUCAAAAUUUCAAAAGUUGAAAUUUAUCACAUGCACAAUCAAUUUGUUUCAACUAAGCACUCGGCUUAAAUUUCUAUCAAAUACUCAAACUGCCAUCAGCACGUGACUAUCACAUAACAAAAAAUAAUUUGUAAAAGCUUUCCAGUGGCAUCCAAAGAUUAAAUUUCAAACAGUGACCAGCAACCUGUCUGAAGAUCUAUAAUCAGGCUGAAGUUUAGAUGUAUUUCGGCAUAUUUCCUUCGUCAAGUGACAGUCACGUGCUAACAGCAGUUAGAAAACUUAAUAAAAAUUCAAACAAAAUAAUUGAUUAAAAUAAAUCGAUUAUUCACAUAAUAAGUUCCAAAUUUUAAACUUUAUGUGGCGACUUGAAAUCAGGAAAAAGUUCACACGGAUCUGAGGCUUCUUUCCAAAGGGAAAAAAAACCCUAAUUUCUUACCUACCUACUUUCAACUUUCUAAAAGCGCAUAAAAAUUUAACUUUUAGCUUCCUGACGCUCAUCUUCUAACGAAUCCAGCAACGAAACAGCGCGAUAACCCUAGGAUCUCACCCGAAACCCACGAACACAACGAAUUCAACAUCGAAACGACUCAAAAUAGAGGAAAAGGAGAGAGAGGGAUCGAGGAGGGGCAUUUGGGUGGGGGGGGAUCGGAUGGCGAACCGGCGCAGGUCUUCUCCUUGGUGAGCUUGUAGAUGAGGACGGAGAUGCCGAGGGCGUGCGCGGCCUCCGCGGCGACGAAGAGGUUGUCGUGGUCGUGGACGAUGAAGCGGAUGAAGGCGAGCGCCGCCAUGCCCGCGACCACGGCGAGGAACGCCUUCACCUUCGGCGGCUGCCGCCGCACCCACCCCGCCACCACGCUCAGCGGCCGCCGCGGCCCCCGCAUCGCUUCUCCCCGCGGCGAUUUGCGCGCCCGCGAUCGCUAUAUACCCUGGGACGAGGAAGAGGACGAGGACGAGGACGAGGGAGAGAGCACAAAGAUCUCUACUUUUUCUCUUUUGGCCUUUUGGGGUCGCAGCGGAGCGAGAAAGCUCUUUUGGGAACUGGGGCGUACAUAGUGGGUUUUGGAUUCCUAAUUAUUUUGGACUCGGAAUGUGACGAGGACACGGGGUUUUGUUUUUGGUGCGAGCAGGUGAUCGGCUCGUAGCUGCCGUAGACACUGAGGAGCGUUUUAGUUGGGCUGAAUUAAUAUAAUUCGAUUAAGACUUAGUUUGCGUUAAGUGCGGUCAGAAAUGGCUAUAAAAAAAUACUCUAUUUAUUUUCAUAUAUAAAUUAUAUUUAGUCUGUUAUGAUAUAUUUUUUAUGAUCCCACCGGAGAACGCAAAAGGAAUAUGCUUUUUCUCAACUCCAUUCUAUCUAAUAGCGUUAGAUAAACAUUAAUACCAAACUAAGCCUAAUUACAUACAGCUACCUAUAAAUAUAUUUAGUUAUUAUCAAUAUAUUUUUUAAGAUUAAAUUAUAGAAACUUUUUUAUAAAUAUUUAUUUUUUACUUUUUCUUCCUAACUUUUAAAAAUUUAUAUUUUACCACAUCAAUAUUUAGUUGGUGCAAUCAACCCCCUCCCUCCCAUUAGGGUUUCAUUACUAUUCCGUCUAUUUUUUAUAAUUUAUACUGAAGAUACCCUUCAAAAUAAUAGAAAUAUAUUAAAAAUUAAUUUUUUCUUAUAGAAUAAAUAGGAGUAAUUUGAUUAUUUUUUUCUCUUCAUUAAUGCCAUAUUUUUCUAAAAAUAUUUUUGAAAAUUUAAAGGGACAAAAUGUAGCUUUUUGAAAGUCAGAAAAGAAUAGUAAAAAAUAAAUAUUUAUAAAAAAUUUUCUAUAAUUUAGCCAUUUUUUAAAUUUUAAAUGAUUAAAUAUAUUCCUACAACCUCUAAUUUAGAGUAGUUAUUACUUAUUUUUAAUGGUUAAUAAGUAAAAUGACAAUAUUAUCUUUUACAAAUAUGUCCUCCAAAUAUUGCUAACACGUUGAGAUCUAUAUAGGGAUGUCAAUGGAUAUGGAUAUCCAAAAUUUUAUCCGAAUCUGAAUCCGGAUGAAACGGAUAUAUCCGAUGCUAAAUGAAUUUGGAUUCGGAUAUGGAUAUCAAAAAUAGAAACCCGACGGAUAUGAAUUUUAACUGUACCUGACCCGAAUCCGAACCCGAAUUUAUUUUGUAUUAUAUAUAAUAUAUAUAAAAAUUUGAUGUUAUAUUUGAAUUUGUAUUUUAAAAAUUUAGAUUUAAUAUAAUAUAUUUUGAAAUAUUGAAAAAAGAAAUAAUUGUUUCGGAUUCAAAUUUUCAGGUUCGGAUUCGUGUUCGGGUUUCGGAUUUUUGGUCGGGUUCGGAUUUGGAUAUGAAUUUUUAAAAUCCGUUAGGUUCGGGUUCGAGUUCGGGUCUCGGGUCUCGGGUUUGGAGUCAGGUUCGGGUUCGGAUUUUUGAAAAUCCGCCCCGAAUCCGACCCAUUGACAUCUCUAGACGUAUAUGAAUGUUCUAUCCUAAAAGCACAAUAAUUAUCUUUGCAAAUAUUUCCAUCCAAAUGCUAGAAUUAUGUAAAAAUGUCCCUCCAAAUGUUGAGUUAGUGAUCACUUUUACAAAUAUGUCUGUUCUUAAAUGUUGAAAUUAUAUAAAAAUGUUCUUUUCGAUGGCCUUCUUCUUCCUUCUUCAAAUGUGUUCCUAUCUAAUUUUUUCUUUUGUUUUCUCUCAAACUAAGAGUACAUAUUGGUAACAUUUAUAAUACUUUUAUUAUACUCAUAGCGCAAUGGCAAUUUUAUUCAUUUGCCACUCAUACAUUAAAAAAAAAAAGCAAAGUUAAAUGGUGCAACAUUUGUCUUAAAGAGUGUAACCUCUAUUUUAUAUGGUACAGCUUAAUUUUAAAUAGUUUUAAAUUGUGCAAUUUUCAUUUUAAAGAGUACAAUUUUUAUCCAAACAGUGCAAAAUUCAACUUUCGUCUCAAAUAGUAUAAUUUUGUUUUUUCCUUUCUUUUCUACCUUUUUAUUUUGUCUAUAAAGGCCAAGACACAUAUUGGUCUUUUCUAGAGAAAAAAAUAUUUAUUUAUUUAUUUAUUUAUUUAUUCUUUCUUUUUUUUUCUUUCAUCCUCUAUUUUUUUUUUUUCGCUAUCACACACCCUCCCUCGCUCUCUGCCGUAGCCACCGCCCCCGUCCGACAUGUUCUUGCUCCUUAUCGUCCUCAAAUCAUGCGCCCCCCUCGUUGUCUUGACUAUCUGUGGCCAUACGCUCCACUACAGCCUUAUCUUUAUGAGCCAUGCUAAAUCUGAACUGCCGUUGGCGGAGAUAUGGGCAUAAUAAAAGAAUGAAAAGCAACAUUGAUGUGGGGCCGUGGAGAAGGAGAAAAGAGAAAAAACAAAAAUGAGAGGAAGAAAUAAAGUGGAGGAAGAUGAACCAAAAGCAAAAGAGGGAAAACGAAAGAGCGAAAAAAAAGGAGAGAAAAAAAAAAAUAUUGACUUCAGUCGUCUAAAAAUGGGCAUCAACAAGCAUAUUAUAGAAAUAUUGAAUAAAAAAGCUAACUAUACAUUGUAUUACUAAGAUAUAAAUCUUACACCAUAGCAAUUCAGGAUUUUAAAAUUUUAUUCACAUUUUUAGUGUUAGCAAAAUUAAUAAGACUAAUAAAAGAGUAUCAACCAUUUUAUAGGUGGAGCAUAUAAUUAACAUCCUACUAGCAAGCAUUAAUGAGAAGGUAUCACUCAUUAAAUAAAUCUAUCAAUAUAUAUACAUAAACAAAUAAAUAUUAAAACAUAUAAAAUUUACGUGAGCUAUAAAUUAUUUUGAUUCGACUAUUUGGUCUUUCAAAAAUUUUAUUUUAUUAUCCCAAACUUUCAAUUUAUUUGAUUUUAGUUAGUCAACAACACUUUGACUUCAAAUUUUGAAUGCAUAAUUUAUUUUACAAAUUUAGUUAGUAUAUUUUAUGCAAUUCUCGUAAUUAUAAAUUUAUUAAAAUAAAUAAAUAAUUUAAAUUUUUAAAGUCGAUGUGUCUUUGACUGGCUCAAACUAAAUAAAUAAAAAAAUUGGAUAGCAAAAUUAAAAUUUUAAAAAGUCGAAUAAUCACUUCAAAAUCGUCUAUAAAGUAGAUAAAUUCUAUCAGUGUUAAAUUGGUGUGGUAAAAAUGUACAAAAGUUAUAUGAACUAUUGACUAUUUUGAAUCAACAAUCCAAACUUUCAAAUUUUAAGUUUAUUAUCCGACCUUUCAAUUGAGUUGCUUUGAGUCACCAAAUGAUAUUUGACUUCAAAAUUUAAGCUAAUUAUUUAUUUUAAUAAAUUCAUAGUUGCGAGAAUUAUAUAAGUGAAGAGAUAUGCUAAUUAAAUAUGUAAGUUAAGGAAUGUAUUUAAAUUUUAAAUUAAAACUAGUGAAGAGGCUCGCGUUUUGCAGCGAAUAAAAACUAUAGAAAUAAUUAAUAAUAAAAGAAUAUCAAAUACUUUUUGUGUAUAUCAUUUGCCACAUCUGCCAAAGGUUCUUCGUUGUUGGCGGUGGGGAUGGAACCGGUGAUGCCUUCUCUGGCGACAAUGAUAGUGAUGAUGACGACGAUCCCUUUGGCUGCAGCGGAGAGGGAAGGUGCGCGCACACAUUAGUGAGGGAGAGGGAGGAAGGGAAGGAGGCAAUAAUUUAAGGAAACGAUGAGAGAUGGAGAGGUGAGGAUUGUAGAUGACGACAAAUCGUUUAGAUGGAUUAAUUGAAAGUUUGAUGAAGUAAAGGGAAAGGUCGUGAUGAAUUAAUAAGAAAUAGAAAUGUGAGGAUCAUAAAUGACAGUGAAAGGUGGAAGAAGGGGAAAGGGUCAUGAUGAAUUAAUUAAAAAUAGAAAUGUGAGAAUUAUAGAUGGCUAGGAGAAGGUUAUAAUGAAUUAAUUAGAAAUAGAAAUAUAAGGAUUAUAAAUGGUGGUGGGAGGUGGAGGAAAGGGGAAGGGGAAGAGUUACGAUGAAUUAAUUAGAAAUAAAAAAGUGAGAAUCAUAGGAAUGUUUAAGGGAAAUUAAAUACAUUAAUUGAAGUUUUAAUAGUAGAAUCAUUUAUAUGUAUCAAUUAGAUAUAUUAAUUAAAAACUUGAUAGAGGGAAGGGUAAAGAUCAAUACGGUUGAGCGUUAAGAAAAACUUGACACUUAGACAAAGAAAUAUUGAAAAUUCAUAUAAAUAAAUUAAUAAUAAUUAAUUAAUUGAUAAUUAAUAAUAAUAAUAAUAAUAAUAAUAGAUUAAUAGAUAGAUUAAUAGAUAAUAGAUAUUAUUAUUGCCUGAUUUAUAAAUAAAUUUAAAAAUUAAAUAGUAAAAUUAAUUUUUUUAAAAAAAAUUAAUUAGCCAAAUUAAAAUUGUUAAAAUUCAGAUGAACUCUGUGCCGAUUAGUACCCGGUCCCCUGCCCAGUUGCUUGUUCCGCCACGUCUCCUCUUCCCCUUCUCCCUGCCCACGACUUUCUCCUGAAUCCCAUGACCCGCCUCUUCCUCCUCUCCUCCUCCUCCUCAUCACCCUCGAGUACCCUUCCUCUCCCAUGGAACCCUCCGACCCCGAUCCCGACCCCUUCUUCGACGCCAUGGACGACCCCGACCCCGAACCCUUCUUCGACGCCCCCGACGAGCUCCCUCCCUCCGACCCCUCCGAAACCCUCGCCCCCGCCACCCCCUCCGCCGCCGUAGCCGAUACCCCCCCGCCUCCCUCCACCCUCCGCCGCCGCAGGUCCCGACUCGAUGGCGGCGGAGAGCGGCGGCGGAGCGGGAUCCUGCGCCUCGUUAAUGUCGACGGCGCCUCCGAUUAUACCGCCGAUCAUGCUCCGGCGCCGAGCUCGACCCUCACUUCGGAGCGGCUCAGCUCCGCGAGAGAUCGCUUUCCCCGGACUCCGCUUGAAUCGGCGGCCACGAGCGCUCUCCGCGACGCGGAGCCCUCGCCCGACGCCGCCGCGGCGGCUCCGCCGCGGACCCUGCUGGAGUGUGUCGCAGGUUUCGUGAUCAGAGCUGUUCUUUUUCAGCUCAAUUUAGUCGUUAACUGCAUCACAUUUCCAAUUUGUUUGCUGCAUUGCUCUUUCCUGCUUGUAAUCGACCCUUUCGGUAGCAUAAGACGAUAUAAGGAUCAUAUGAGAGCUAGGGUUUCAUCAGCGUGGAAGAUUUUAUUGGAUAAAGCGGCUUCUUUUGCGCACGAGAGGCUCGGGAGCCAGCGCGAGUUGUGGGGAUUGGCGGUGAGAUUGAUCAUCGGGGGCGUCUGGGCGUUCUACAUUUGCUUUGUUUUAUGCGGGCUCCUAGCGACCGCGUUCUUGGGCGGGAGUUGGCUUGCGGGGAAAGUUCUGGAGAAGCCGAUCCAGUUGACGGAGGAACUGAAUUUUGAUUACACGAAGGCUAGCCCGGUCGCGUUGGUGCCGGUGAUAUCAUGCAGUAACGUUUUUGGUUCCGAGGGAAAGGGCAGAGCUGGGGCCUUCUUGGAUAGAAGGAUGGUGCCUGCGAAUCACAAAUUGCAGCUUACCAUUUCGUUGACGUUGCCAGAGUCCGAUUACAAUCGGAAUCUUGGGGUUUUCCAGGUAUCUUUUGUCCCCCCUUUUUAUGCUCGAGGUAUUAUAGCUUGGAUAGUUAACUGUGAAAUGUUUUUUCAAUUCUAUAAGAUUUAGGAUGUUUGCCCUAAUUUUAUUUGUGCUUUGUUCCGUUAAUGUUGGCAUUAUAUAAAUAUGUAGGUGGAGAUGUGAAAAUGUUCAAUUUUUUCGUGCUAUUACAUAUCUUUUUGAUGUCGAUAGUUAGGUUUUGCAAGCAACACCGGAUAGUUGUUGUUUUUCGUUAAAAAAGAAAAAAUAAAAUUUCCCAUACCAUUCUAUUAUUGUGGGUUCGUGCUCGUUAUUCUAGUGUUUUUCUUUGACAAUUUGUGUGUUUUCUUUUCCCUGAGUUUAGGUCAGGGUGGAGUUUCUAUCUGCAGAAGGCAAAGUAAUCUUCAGUUCGCGCCAACCAUGCAUGUUACGGUUUAAGAGCUCUCAUAUGCACAUCAUUGAGACCUUUCUCAAAAGUGGUUCUUUACUAGCAGGCUAUUCGUCAGAGUCGCAGACUCUCAGAUUAAAAAUGAGGGGAUUUACUGAAAAACCCGAGCCAACUGCAUGCAUCAGGGUCAUUCUUGAACAAAGGGCCGAGUUCAAGCCCGGUGCUGGCAUUCCCGAGAUUUACACUGCUUCUUUGAAGCUCGAGUCCGAACUUCCUCUGUUUAAGAGGAUAAUUUGGAACUGGAGAAGGACACUGCUUAUGUGGUUAAGCAUGGGAAUUUUCAUCUUUGAAUUGCUGAUUCUUCUGGUUUGCUGUAGGCCUGUUAUAAUUCCAAGGACUAGGUCUCCUAUAGCUGCAACAGGGAGGAGUUAGUCUCAAACCAUCGAAUAUUGCAGAAUUUUAUGUGUAGACAUGGUUUAAUUAAGCGUAGAGCACCACAACAGCACAGACUUCCUCAUUUCAGGUAGGUCUUCCAAUCUUUCCUAACUUUGGGAGGCACAAGUGAUGCAUCUUUUACUUGGAUAAAAGAUGCAAUGAAGUACGUACAAUUUACUGCUUUCAGUGCACUCGACAAAAUAGUAUUUUGAGGUAUUGGUGAGUAAUGACAAGGACGGUCACCGUUAUCUCAUCAAGAUAUCUGCGAUAUCUUCAAUAGAUAAAUUAAUUGAGUUCAUAGCUGAGGAAACAGUAAACCUUACAGAGGAAACAGGUCUGCGCAUGUAUAUUUUUCUGAGCAGAGAAGCAUCAUCCGGUAAGAACACACAACAGAGAGUUCCUCAAUUCUCUUAUAUUGCGAGACACUACCUGCACGAAACUGUCUUAUGUUGCUAAAAAUAGUAGAAGUCUAAUAAAAUUAGCAUUUUAAGGUUUGUAAAGUUGUAUCAAAUUCUUUGUUGUUGUUUGGGGAAAAAAAAAAGAAGAGUGAAUGAGCAACCCUUAGAUUCUUUUUCUAAAGGUUGCGACUAGUAUGACAGCUAGAAAAUUGCAACUUGACUUUUAACCUUGUAGUGCAAGCUUUAGAACUGAACUAAGUAUGAGAUGGGUUUUAUCAGCAUUGCUUGUUGUUGGGUUAGGUGUCAUUAUCAGUGAACAAGUUUACAUAUGGAGGAUAGUUUGUGCUUAUUUCUUUCUAGGUAUGCAUUCUAAAAAGCUCUAUAGAUUGCUUUGUGAAGAUAUAUCAAUUCUCUGCUACUUCAACUUUUGCCCUUUCAGAGUAAUUAGGCCUUGUGUGAAUUUACAGUUUGCCAGUACCAGAUCUUUGGAUGCAUCAUAGAUUUUAUUAAAGAUCUUAGUAGGAGGAAUAUAUGGAAUGGAGAAGAUGGAUAGAAAAUUGUUGUUGCUUAUGAUUAUCAGAUUUUGGGAUUAUUAUCAUGGAGUCUAAAAGAGGAGCAUUAAUAUUUUCAUGAAAUUAAAAAGAUCAAUAAUAUUCCCCUCGUUGUUAGGAGAUAACAAUCUUAAAAGGUUUGAGAAGAGAUAGAAAAGAUUUCAUGAUGUCUUAUGAAAGAACUACCAGGUUUUUUGUUUUUGGAACUUUUUCCAGUUAUAGUCCAUUAUUAUGUUGAUAAUAAAGGUAUAUGCGCAAUUGUACCAUGUCACAUGUAAAUGAUUUUCGAAUAGCUUGAGAUUUUGGAAUGGGUCGACAUUCUGUCCCGUGGCAGAUGCCGGGUUGGGCCGACUCAUAAUCAAAGUCCACGAACGCUAUAUGUUUAUACACUUUAAGUGAGUGGAUUGCAUUCUUUCUAAUAGCCCGAAUUUUUAGAAUUAGUAGUUAGCGCCUUCGAUCUACGAGUAGUAUCAGAGUCAAUCGCGCGGGUUUGGUUUCGGCAUGCUGUAUAUGUGUUCAGGUGCUGGGAGGGAAGGGGGGAUUAUUGGCUGAAAUGGGUUUGAUUUGCUCAUGUUCAGAUUUUUCGGUGUAUUAAAAUUUAGGAUCUUUAGAAAUGACCUAGAGGGCAGAGUGUGUUUCGGAGCAAUGGUUUUGGAGAAUCUAAUGCUUAACAUAGAGUCAAUACAACACAUUGUACAGUUCACUUUCUGGCAUAUUGUUUGUGAUAUUGUAUUCAAUUCAACACCAUGAUGGAAUGUUUGGUGGUAGAAAAUGAUUCAUUGCAGGUCACAGUGAAAGUUGUUGUGAAGUUGUGAGCCGAAGUGUGGAGAACGGGUUACUCGGAGAAACCAUCCGCUUAGAGUUGAAUCAGUGGAGUUGCAUCGGAACUUCGCAGAUCAGUAGGUCCCAUGUGUGAUUUCUCUCAAGAGGUCGCAAAGGGGCGGCCUCUCGAGGCAGCAAGCUUCGGGCACUUCCUGCGGCAGCGACGUGUAAGUCGAGUUCUACUAACUCAUCAAAUCCGUAGACUGCUUUUCCAAUAUAUCAAAACAUGUCGUUGUCUGGUUACGAGGCUCCAUGCUAGUUGAAAGCAAAAGUUGUAGGGCUUAUAGCUUUCUAUUCAGUUUUUUCCAGUAGCUUGCUAUUGCCUGCUUGUUUCUCCUUAGUUGCCGUAAAUAAAAAGAUGAGGACAAAUAGGCACUUCAUUUGCAUUUAAGGACAAAUAGGCACUUGGCUAAUUGAAUAACACGAGUUUAUGAUUUUCCAAACAUCACCUCUAAAUAUAUCUAUAUCUAUAUCUAUAUCUAUCUGUCUAUCUAUAUCUAUAUCUAUACCUCUAUACCUAUAUAUUAUUCUUCUUAAAUUUGCCACAAGGCAAGAUUCCUUUUAUUGUUGGGAGUGGGCUCGAUUCCGAACCGAUUCAAAUCCUCCAUAUAUUUUUCUAUUUUUCUCUUUCUUUGGUUAAACUCAAUUGAAUUUUUCUCUUUCUUUGCUUAAACCGAACUAAUCAUUGGUGAUUGUGGGCUCCCUGAACCGGCUCAAGUUCUCCAUAUGGUUUUCUCUUUUUUUGUUUGAACCAAACUAGUUUUUUAUUUUUUUGCUCGAACUGGAUCGGGUCACACCUCUGCAUUGGGCCGGACUAUUCCUCUUUCACUUCCUUCGGCUGUUGCCUUCCCUCAUCGGCAUGAUGAAUUUCACCCAUUAUCGUCGCUUUUUCUACUGUUGUUUUCUUUUUCCUGUCGCCGUUUUUUAAUUUUUUUUAAAAUUAUCUACUCGUCGCAUUGCGCGAAUUACUACAUUACUAUUCAUAAAAAACAGAAGGUGUUGGAAAACAAUGCCAACCAACAGUCCCCUUGGUCUUCCUCUCUUAAUUUUGGAGUUAGAUUAGACCGUUUGAUGGAAGAAAAUCACAUUUCCAAUCCUAUCAUAAUAAUGCGGAAAGAGUCUAAUCUCCCAAUAUUGAUUCUAGUCCUAAAGAAUCCGGUGUGGCAUUUAGGGCUUAUUUGUUUCACAUAUUUUAAACUCUAGAUUUGAAAUUGGGUAUAGGAUUUACUGAUUUGUUUUACGAUUAUGAUUCUUAUUUCACUCUCAAAUAGGAAUGAUCCAAUUUAUUUAUAGUCCAAUCUGACUUUAAAUUUUGGAUUGGUUCAUUUCAGAAUAAAUCAUUCAAAAUUUUCUCUCACAAAUAUCUCUACAUCCUCUUCCCUCGUCACUUUUCUUUUUCUCAAUUAAAAUCUCUUUCUAAAAAUUCUAAACGUCUAUUCCAAUUUUCAUUUUAGUGAUGAACCAAAUAUUCUUAAAUGAUUCCAUUUUUUAUUUCAAUGCAAUCUAAUUCGUUUCCUAUUUCUAUUUCGCUCAUGAACUAAACAUAUCCUUCUUACUUUCAUGCCGAAUUGGAAAGAAAUUGUACAUAGAAAUACUAGGACUAAGGAUUCUAUUAGUAAUAACUGAACUUAAACAGUUGCACUAAUGUUUUAGACUCAAUGAGUUAUCGGUAUUAGCGGAUUGGAUUAUUAAAGCAGAAUUGCCAGUCGAACAUGUAAUUAGGACUGGUGAGAGUUUUGGAAGAAAAAUGUAUUAAGGAAUAAGGAUUCUACAAGCAAUAAUUAGAUACUAGUAUAGUAGCCCGUACGAUGCGACGGAUAGAGAAUUGGAGAAAAAAUAAAAGACGAUGACAAAGGAGAGAAAACAGUAAUAAAAGAAAUGAUGAUAAAAGGUGAGAUUCAUCUUGCCGAUGAAAGAGAUUGAAGAAAGAUGAAGAAGAACAGUUCGGCUCAAUAUAGAGGUGUGGCUCAGUUCGGUUCAAGCCAAAAAAAAAAAGGUUGAUCUGGUUCGAUUCAAGUAAAGAAAGAGAGAAAUCAAGUUCAUUUCACGCAAAGAAAGAGAAAAAUAUGUAGAAAACUUGAGCCGGUUCGAGAGAGCCCAUACUUAACAAUAAUCAAGUCGGUUUAAGCAAAGAAAGAGAAAAAUUCGAUCUGAUUCAAGCAAAAAAAGAAGAAAACAUGUGGAGAAUCUGAGCCCAUUCUAAUUAAAGCCCACACUAUUGCCAUGUGGCAAAUUUAAGAAAAAUAAUGUAUAGGUAUAGGUAUAGGUAUAGAGGUACAGAUAUAAAUCAGUAUUUUGGAUGGGUGAUUCGGUCCAACAAGUUAUUAAAUUCUAGUAGGCUGGAUCAUUAUAAUGCUAAUCCCUUCGGAACGCAUUUUCAAUUCCAAUUCCAAUUGCGAACCAAGCAUUCAGGGGAUCAGGAGAAUCCUUUUAUCUUCACAUAAUAAUAGAGUAUUAAUGGUGGGUGGUUGAGGGAGAGAGGUUGGUGGGUUGGUGUGCUUUAACAAUCAAGGAUAUAUUUUCUACCUGCAGUGAGUUAGAUAUUGACAUUUAAACCUGCGAUCUGCAUUGAGUUUGAAAUUUAGCUUAGGACGUGUUUGGUUCCCGAAAAUUUUAAAAAAUAUUUUUUCUAGAAAAAUUCUUUCUUUUUUAAGACUUCAUAGAAGAGUCUUCUUUUUGUUUUCGGAAUUUUUUUUUUUUACCAAGAAACUGAAUACUAUGGAAAGAUUCUUUUUUUAGAGAUUGAUACUCAAAUCCUUGGGGGAUUAAAUUAGCGAUUUGGAUCUCGUCCAAUUUGGAGCUAAUCUCUAUACAUAUUUUAUUUUCGGUGAUACUAAUGCGUCACAAAACGUAAUUCUUGCAUCUCCACUUAAAGAGUAAGGCAAUCCUACCUCAAGUAAAGAAUCUCCACGUAAUAGAAACCGAAACAAACAUUCGCCAUCCUAGUUCAGUGAUUGUUAUCAAAUUGUUUUUUUUUUUUUUUUUUUUUUGAGAGAUAGAUAGCACGCUACCUGCUUCGUUUAUUUCAUUUAGAAAUAAACUUAGCUGGAAAUGUGAAUCAACUAGGAUUCGAACUUAGAUCUCGGGUACCAACCAUCAAGCUCUUUGCCACUUGCUCUAGGGACGAUCGGUUAUUGUUAUCGAAUUGUUAUUCUAAAGAUCGCAUUCCUACUUGUACUUUUACUUAAAGAGAUUUGUACCUCCAACUUUUUGAGUAUUAGAAUAGUAUAUGUAGAAAGGAUAGGAUAGGAGUCUAGGAGCAAACUUGAAUACUAUAUGAAUGAAGCUGAUAGCUACGUUUUUCUCAAAAAAAAAAAAAAAAAAGAAUCUUUCAAGUGUAGAAAUAGAAAGGUUAAAUCAUAUAUCUUGUUUCUAAAAGUAAUAUUCUACAAUAAUAAUAAAAGCUUUGCUAAGUUUCUCAAUGCUUUUUUUAAAAAAAUAAGCUUUAUUCCGAAAAGUUUAACUAUUCAUUUUAUUAAAUUAUAAGUUUUAAUUCAUGUCUUUUGUAUAUAUUUGGAGGCCAUUUUCACCAAUAAAAUCAACGUCCGGUGAUUGAAUGAGCCAAUUUGACGUAUUUAUAGAAGUUUAGAUAGCAUUAAUUUAUUUUAAAAGUGAACUUUGAUAAAAGUUUACGAACUACCGAUGCGAUUAAUCCUUUCGAAAAUAGAGAGGUAAGUUUUAGGAGACGACAAAAUAAUACUCAGAGCCUAAGAUUCCGAUAGCGAGCUCAGGUUGAUGCUACAAUGCCAUAAUUUAUCUCUUUAAGAAGAUUAGGUUGGAAUUUACUAGAGAGUGAGGGGGAGCGCGAAAGCAAUGUCAUAGUAAAAAUUUUAUAAUUUAGUUUAGCUUGAUAAUGGACAAGGCUCAAGAGAAUAAUAAUAAACAUAAGGGCAUGAUUGGAAGCAUGGUACGAAUAAAAUAAAAUAAUGUACGGUUAAGUUUAAAGUAACCCAAAGUGCUCCGUGAUUCGUUCAUGUAACGCACAUUUCCUAUUUUGAUGGGCCCCACAAAUCUAAUUAUAGAUCAGGAUAAAUGAUACGUUUGGUCAUCAAACUAUGGUGUAUUGGUGUUCACGGUUUAGUUCUCAAAAUUUAAUUUACUUUAAUUUUAAAUUUAAAUUUUUAGAAUUAUUUCAAUUAAAGUUCUCAAAUCUAAUUUAUUAACUAAAUAUUAAUAUACUGCUAAUAUAGAAGUGAUAUAACAGUAUUGCAAUUGAUAAGACCCUAAUAAUUAAGUUAUCGUAUCACGCCAAUAUUUAGUCAAUUAAAAUAGUUUAUAAAAUUUAGUUACAAUAAUUUUCAAAGUUUAUAAAUUAUAACAAACUGAAGUUUAAGAAUUAAAGUGUCAUCGACUCAUAGUUCGAGAACUAAGCGAGCAAUUUACUCUAGAUAUAAGAGGUACUUUCAUCAUUUUGUGAUUAUUCUUGGUUUUUAUAGUAGCAUUAAUAAAUAUUUUUUAAUUUUAAAGGAGUAUUAAUAGAAUGGUUAAAUUAUAGAAACUUUCUAUUAAUAUCCUUUUUUUUUUACUUCUUUUUCUGUCAUUCAAAAAUUUAUAUUUUAUUCCCUAAAAAAAUAAAAAAUAUUUACAGAGAGGUACGCCGUAACAAAAUGACUAAAUUACCCCUCAUGUUCUUUGGAAUGGGCGAAGGAGGAGGGUUUUAGAGGUAUUUUGGAUAUAAAAAAUAGUAUAUAAACGAAAUCCUAACGAAACACUGACGACAGAGUCAAAGUUAAUACUUUUUUAUUUUUUAAAAGAACAAGAUGUAUGUUUUUGAAUGAUACGUGAAAAAGUUAAAAGUGGGUAUUGAUAGAAAGAAUUAUUUGAAACGAUGAAAUUAUCUUUACAGUAAGAAAUAUAUUUUUAGUUUAAACAUAAUUAAAAAAUAUACUUAUAUAAUUUUCUCAAAUUAUUUUUUUAAUUAUUAUAUGUAAGAUAAAAUUGCGACAAAUUUGAAUGGAGUUAUUUGUACCUACUGAGCAUCAAAUUUAGAUCGCCAUACCGUGAGCUACAAUUAUUUGCUUUGACCCCACCACCGUCACCACGUGGCAGCAGACGAUUCGUACCGUAAUUACCAAGCAAAGAAAAAGCCCCAUUGGCUUUUACCCCGACACGUCACUUCAGUUGCGGGCCCCACGCGAUGUUACCGUUUACCUUGCGGGUACCGCUCCGUUACUCGCCACGUCAUUUGCGCGCGAGCGUCCGCGCCGACCGACCCAAGCCACCUCGUCGUCGUCGUAUUACCGUAAACGCUUUUUGACUCAAUAAUGUGCGCAACCACCCGAGUCCGACGAUUCCAUCCUCGGCCUAAACACCAAACACCGGAUCUUUCUCCACAGUCACGCCACGUGUCCCCCCCGUUUCCACCGAGGUCCACUCCGAUGAUUGCUGUGCGAUGCAACUGUACAGUUGAUGCGAACGGAUGUUGCCUGGACCCGGUGUAUCGGCACUUUCCAUGCACCACACCUCUAAUUAUUUUUGUAGUAGAAAUUUUUUUAAAAAUUAAUUUACUGAGACCUUUCAAUUAAGAGUUCUAUAUAUAUAUAUAUAUAUAUAUAUAUAUAUGAAAUCGUACACUUUGGAUUGCCUAUAAUAGAUCGUUGAUGUGUUAGUAUAAUUAUAAAAUAUUUUAUUUUAUUUGAUGAGUAGUUUUUUAAAAAUUUAUUGGUGUUUAGAUAUAAUUAUGAUCAAUUUAAUGAAAUAUACUUAUCAAAUUAAAGUUAAAUUUUUAAAUAUUGAUUAAUUAAUUAAUUAAUCAACAAAUAGCAAAUACAAACACGUGGUAGAUGUGGUACACGUAGUCCAGGGGCAGGCCACAAUUUUCUCGCUCCCCUUGUGUCGGUUGCUAUUUUAAUAACUGUGGUGAGGGCAUUUUCGUAAUUUCGCGACCUAUGAACAGCACAAAAAUGUAGAGAGAGAGAGAGAGAAAGAUCUGUCCCGCCUCACAUUCCCCGGAGCUCGCUCUCUCUCUCUCUCUCUCUCUCUCUCUCCCCCCUCCGUCUCUCGCAGAUCCGGAGGAGGAGGACGAGGCAAAACCCUAUUCCCUCCGAUCUUCGAUCCCAAUCACCUCAAACCCUACAAACCCUAGGCUUCGAUCUCGAACGGAUUCGGUAUCGACAUCCCCGGGCAUCGCCAUUGACGUCACCCCCGAGCUCCGCUCCCUCCGACCCUCUCCUUCCCCCCAAUGCCGUCGUAAUCUCCGCCCCCGGACCCCCUAGGUAUCUUCUAUCUCCUCGUAUACGGUCGAUUUGAGGUGCCCGCUGAGAUUUUCGUGGGGUUUUGGGGGGGAUCUGUGCUGUAGAACUCGCGUUCUAGGGUUUUCUAUUGGUAAUGCGGCGGGUGUAGCUCGUGGAUCUGAGAAUGGGAGUUGCGAAGUACACCAAGGGGUGUUGCGGGUGGUUGAUAGUGCUUAUUGUCGCCGCGCUUGUGGUCACUGCAGCGGUCGUAGCCAUUAAGAAGAGGAAGCCCCACCAUGCCGAGGUCCUUCCGGUCCCCGGCCCACCGGGGGCCAUUAAUCAGAAGUACGCCGAUGCCCUCGGCAUAGCUCUGCAGUUCUUUCAAGUGCAAAAAUGUACCUUCCCUGCUUAUCACUGUUCCAUUUCCUCUCUAAUUGCAAUGAUUAAUUCCAAAAGAUGGGUCUUUUUAGCUCUUUCAGUAUGUUCCUCAUUUUUUCUUUUUUUAAUCUGUUAAUGGCACUCGCAUAAAUGUCCCUGCAAAAUUUGAAAAUUAGAUAUUUGUGUCUCUUUAAAAUUGAUAUUUGGUGUCAUUUUACUGUUUAAUUUUUUUUGUAUUUAGUAGGAAAGCAGAUAUUAUGUUAUAGGAAUUGGAUGGGACGGCAUGGGUGUCGGAACAGCGGAAAAAGUUUAAAUGAAAAACUAUCAAAUUAACAUUCAACGAAUGGUAGUUAAUUGGGAGCUCUAGAUGAAUUACUUAUUGAGUUUUAGCCUAAGAAAUUAAAUAUUACCAGAUCCACUUUCGAAGUUUAAUAUGCAAGUGACUCUUGUUAAGGGGUUUACUAGUUCCCAUUAUUAUUUAUUUAUUUAUUUUCAUUCUAUGCAGCGGGGAAGUUGGUUAAUAACAAGAUUUCGUGGAGAGGGGAUUCUGCCCUGGAUGACGGGAGGGAAGCAGGAUUGGACCUGUCAAAGGGGAUGUAUGAUGCAGGGGAUCACAUGAAAUUUGGUUUUCCUAUGGCUUACACUGCAACAGUGUUAUCAUGGUCUAUUCUUGAAUACGGGGAUCAGAUGAGUGCCGUGAAGCAGCUAAAUCCUGCUCUGGACGCUCUUAAGUGGAUCACGGAUUAUCUGAUCAAUGCCCAUCCUUCUGAUAAUGUUCUGUAUAUUCAGGUAGUUUUUGUGGGAAUUUUUCUUUUUUUCUUUUUUUAAGGUUCAUAAGACAAAGGUGGGCUCUAUGUUAAAAUUAAGAUCUUUCAAGUUUUCUUCUUUAGUUGAGCCAGAUUCCACUAUUUGUUUUUUUCAUUGAACCCUAUUUGCCAUAAUUAUGUGCUUUUCUUCAUCCUUUGUCAGGUUAUGCGAUGUGUUUUUCUAAUUAGUUUGACAUUAUACUGCAUUGUCAUCACUCUAGUACCAGAUUUAUCCAUCUUCUUGUGGCAUAGGAAAUAACGCUUUUAGAGUUUAUCCAGAGACCAGAUUUAGAGGGCAUUUAUUCCUCUUUAGGUAGAUCAACCUAACUGGAAGUAAAUGUUCACUACAUACUAUUUAUGAAAAAUCUACUAUCUUAAUGACUCUUGUUAUUAUUUGUCCUUGCCAUUUGUUCCUUAAUGAUAAGAAUGUAAUGGAAGUUCAUUUUUAAAUUGCUAUUUGUCCCUUCUCUUUUGAAGUUAAUUAUACAUUGUCUUGUUUUUAUCUAUAUCAUGACAAAUGAACAAGCAGCUAGCAGUCCCUCUGAGAUGUAGGCAAGUAAAUAGAUUCUCUGUUGCUUGCCUUCAUAUCUAAUUGUAGAUUCGCUGUUACAUUUAUUUCUUUAUAUCUAAAAUGUAUGAUUGGAAGCAUGUGGAUCUUAUAAAACACUACAGUUUCAAGGAAAAAAGUCUGUAGUAACCAUUACCCCGUUUAUAUAUAUAUAUAUAUAUAUAUAUAUAUAUAUAUAUAUAUAUAUAUAUACAGAUCAGAGCUGUUAUGCUCUCAGGAGCACGGAGGCCUUCGUGCUCUUGAGCCGUUUUCGAUGAUAAAAUUUUCGAAUCAACGAUCGGCUCCGUUAGACUUGAUCUAGCGUAUUUGAAGUUUCUAGAAAAUAAUUUUUGCAAUUUUUUGAUAUCAUUUACCUAGUGAUCGAAAGAUUCAAAAUCAAUAAUUUUUAAUGGUUGAUAUCUGCCGUUUUCAAGUUUAACGGUAUAGAAGUAUUCAAAUCAGAUGAAAUUUUGAUACAAAAUUCUUUAUACUAUCUACAACAAGAUCAAUAUUUCUGAUCGAAAAUUUUAGUGCUAUGUGACCACUUUUUAUAGGAUUUUUAUUUUCAGCCGUUAAAAAUUAUUGAUUUUGAAUCCUUUCGAUUGCUAGGUAAAUGAUAUUGAAAAAUCGCAAAAAUUAUUUUCUAGAAACUUCAAAUACGCUAGAUCAAGUCUAACGGAGCGGAUCGUCGAUUCGAAAAUUCCAUCAUCGAAAACGGCUCAGCUCCUGAGAGCAUGGCAGUCCUGCUAUAUAUAUAUAUAUAUAUUAAUAACCUCUCUGAAAAGUUAUGAUCUGAUUGGUAGGUGGGUGAUCCUGAGAUAGACCAUAAAUGUUGGGAAAGGCCGGAAACAAUGGCAGAGAAAAGGCCGCUAACAAAGAUCGACCAGAAAACUCACGGGACAGAGGUGGCUGCGGAGACAGCAGCGGCUCUGGCCGCAGCUUCCUUGGUUUUCAAAUCCAUUAAUACCACCUAUUCCGAUUUGCUUCUUCACCAUGCCCAGCAGUUAUUCACUUUUGCUGACACUUACAGAGGUUCCUAUAGUGUUAGUUAUCCUCAGCUUCAGAACUACUACAAUUCCACAGGUUAUGUAGAUGAGCUCUUGUGGGCAGCUAGCUGGCUCUAUCAUGCUACUGGUGAUCAAACAUAUCUCAGCUAUGUAACUGUGGAAAAUGGAAAAGCUUUUGCCGACUGGGGAAGACCGACUUGGUUUAGUUGGGAUGACAAACGUGCAGGAACCCAGGUACAUAUCUAGAUCAUGAAGUGAAAAGUUUGCCCUCUCAGUUAGCUUCUCUUCUUCAUAAAAUGAUAUGCCAUGUUAUUAUGAUUGUGUACACUAAAGUAUGAAUUUUUGGUUCAUAUCAAAACAAUAAUGUGAUUUCAACACGUCAACUCAAGGUACCCAUAUCCUUAAAUCAUUGUAGCUAACAAGAGCAAGUCUGCGGAAAAGCUGGGAACUUAAAUGACCUGCCUUCUAAGGAAUUACUUUGAAUAAAUGUUACGGUGAAAGUAAAUUAGUUAUGCCUCACUGGAGCCGAUUCAAACUUUUUUGCAGGUUCUUUUGUCCAGGAUAAACAUUUUUGGUUCUAAACAAUCCUCGAAUGCAGAGAAUGUGGGCCUCCAAAUGUAUAGAAAAACAGCUGAAGCCGUCAUGUGUGGUCUUUUGCCAGAUUCCCCAACAGCAACCUCUAGUAGAACAGAAAGUACACCUAAAUACCUUUCUCAGUUGAUUUAGUAUUAUGAUUUUCUCAGUUGAUUUAGUAUUAUCAUUAUUAUUAAGAGUAUCUUGCCUGUUUGUUCAUAGGUUCGCUAGUUUUCUUGACAGUGCUCCAUGAAAUCAGCGAUUUCUUGUUCUAAUUCGAAGUGCAUUCUCAUACAUUCUUAAUGACUUGGUUAUCAUGUUCUAUCUCAUAUGCACCAUUGAUAGUCUAGUUUUGUUUUUCAGUGUCAUGUAGCUGAAUGUUUUGACUUCGUUGGUUGGACAGUUUGUUCCCUGCACUGGGGUGUGAAUAUGACCAGAUUUUUUAGCGUAACUUCCUCGAAUCUAGCCACAAGAAAUUAAGCCAUUUAUUUUGGCACUUCUAUAGUUAAUUUUUAUGGAGAAAUUGUAAAAGAACAUCCCAUUUAGAAUCAAAGCAGUAUGGAUAAACUGGACAAACUUGGCAUGUUGUGUCAUCUUUUAAAUAUUCAUUUCGUCAAAAGGAGAUUUUGUAGAAUGUCUGACUGCUUCAUGGUUGGAAAAUCAUGACAUUAAGAUGCAACAUAUGGACACUGUGUGAUCCAGAGGUAAUUGAUCCAUUUUUUUUCUUCCAUGCGUCUUCCUUCAUUAAGAUUCAGAGAACAUAACCAAGAUUUAUGGAAGACUCAUGCAAUCCCAGCCUUAUUGCUCUUGUUUACCAUUAGCUUUUACUGCUUUUGAUCAACCAGUUUUUAACUCCAGUUCAUCCUUGAUUUUGUUUGUUCCAUGCCAUAGAAUAUAUCUGAAUAAUUUUAGUUGAAUAAUAUUGAUCAGUGGUAUUAUUUUUCUAAUGCUUUUUAAUUUCACUCUUCCUAUCUAGAUUUAGGCAUACAUGCGACUAUAUUCUGAAUUACAGAGGACUAUUUUGAACUGUAAAUUGUAAAGUUAUUAUGAGCUUUCGGUAUUUAAUGGGUUUUGCCUUAUUUUUAUCGUCUUAACCCAGGUGGGUUGUUAUGGAUAGACGAGUGGAAUGCUCUUCAGCACCCUGUUGCUGCUUCUUUCCUCGCUGUUGUUUACAGCGACUAUAUGCUCACAUCGCAGACUCCAGAAGUGCACUGCAAUGGGGACUCCUACACACCCAUUGAUCUGCGGAAAUUCGCAAUGUCACAGGUAACAUCCUUGGAGGGCUUCAACUCCUGUUUGUACUACUUUUACUAACUUUGCUUGCUAUGGCCAUGUCCUGAAAUGAUUCUGAGAAAAAGCUUUCCUUAGGCCUGCUUGGCUAGGCUGGAGAUUUUGCAUUAGUGCUGAGUGAGUGUGUUGGGAAAAGUGGUAUGUCUUUCCUUACAAAACACCCACAAUAACCUUGUGCAACAGCCAAGGACGUCAUCUAGCUUAGUGCUUCGCCCUGAAGCUUUAAGCAUCUUGCCUGAUAAACAUCUCGCUUUUGCAUAUCGAGUAGAGAAGCUAUUGCUAAGGUCAGAUCAAAUAGGCACUUGAGGCCUAUAUGGUUUCAUCAAAACCUCCUGUAUUUCUUCUUCCUAGAAUUGAAGCAUAAGCUUCUAAUCGAAGCUCCUACUUGUGGGGUCCAAAAUCCCAUUUCAGCUUCUCAUAACAGCAAAAGCUCCAGAUUAUUAGCCAAGCACGUGAUUUUUAGAAGCUUCUGCUUUCUCGGUGGACAAGCUGUUCCGGAAGCCAAGAACAGUAUCUCAGCUCAUCAUUUUAAGGAUGGAAAAAAAAAGAGAAUAAGAUAAAGUAAUUGACCAAAAAAAAAAAAAACAAAUAAGCUGAGUGCUCUUUCCUCUUUUUUCUUUCCCUCCAAUUUUUUCAAAAAAACCAGGCCGACUACAUCUUGGGCGACAACCCGAUGAAGCUCAGCUACCUCGUAGGCUAUGGUAGUAGCUACCCGCAGCAGGUGCACCACAGAGGAGCCUCAAUCCCCACAGAAGCAAACACAGGCUGCAAGGGCUUCCAGUGGCUUACAUCAACUGAACCGAACCCAAAUGUAGCCACUGGAGCGCUCGUCGGAGGUCCAUUCAAGAACGACUCCUACAUCGACCUGAGGAACAACUCGAUGCAGGCCGAGCCGAGCACAUACAACAGCGCGGUUCUCGUCGGCUUGCUCUCCGGCCUCGUCACCACUUCCUCUGUCGCACAGUCUUUCACGUAAAUACUCUCUUCGUGCUCUUUGAUGGUUUCUGUUGGCAUAUGAAUGAUGUACAUGAGCAAGCAUCGUUGUUUGCGGUCGAGUGAAAGUAUGCUGUAUUGUGGCUAUGCCGGGGGUCUAUGAGAAGCCAUUUUUUGUUGUUGUACUUGUUUACUAUAUCAUGGGAAGCUUUCUUGUACUUGAGUGUGUGCAAUAUCCAUCGAAAGCAAUUAGAGGUGUAUGUGUAAUUGAGAGAGAGACCUACUAUGUUUUUUAGUACAUAUGAUUUAUGGAAUGUGAGAUGCAAAUAUGCAGUAAUGAGUAAUGAAUGAUACUCGACUACAUUCUCAUAGUUGAACAAAUUUGAGUUAAACAAACAUUUACAUUGUGAUUAUAAUGUCGCCGGACAAACAAUGCAAAGUAUGCAUUGUUAUUGUCAUUGAAAGGCAAACAGUUUAUAGUUUUAGGCUAAUCUCACGUAGUUGUCAUUUAACACUCUACUCUGCAUUCGAUCUAUUUGAAAGGAGCAUUAUGGAUGGAUACAUUUUAUAAUUCAAGAACAUUAUUAAUCAUCUAUUCAAUUUAUCCACUGCCUGAGCACAUUCAUGAGGGGCAAUUAACCAACCUGUCUCAGUGGUUGCAUCUUUAUUCUUAUUUUCCUUCUUUGUUCCAGCAUCUUAGGAAACAUUUUUUUUGGGUGCUCCCAUGAAUUAAAGCAACCUUUUUGAUCAAGCAAGCAAUGCCUGGCAGCAGAGCAUGUGGCUAUGAACCUGUCAAGAAAUUCCUUCAAGCAGAGAAAGAAAAAGGAGUUGAUUGCUUUUUGUAAGUUUACCAUCCAUCCCCAAAGUAAGGAUUUCACCCAUGAUUACAAACUUUCUUUCUCUUCAGGUAAAGCAUCCUCUAAAGAACAUCAUGAGACUCAAUACCAACAGCUAUGAAACUUUUUCUGUUCAUCUUCAUCACAAACAAUAAUAAUUCCUGACAUUUUUUGGUGCAUUAAUUCCCAAGGAAUGCAGGGAAGAAGACAUUCAUGACACAUCACACAGCCAAUAAUGCAGUGGACCCUUUGUCUUCAAUAAAUAUCAUUUUUAUCUCAAUGCUGCACAGAUCCAACAGCUUCUUAUGGCGGAAUGAGAGAGCGCGGAAUGAGAGAGCUAUGCUCGAGGAGACGAAGGGUUCAGUGACUCAGAGAUAUUUAGAGCCGUGAUAGUAAGAGGUGGGACUUGAUGGUAUACGUUGUGAUUCUCCAAAUCGAAAUCCACUAAGUUCGUAAUUGUCGGGUAGGUAGGAUUCAAUAAUCCCACUCUACUGAAAUUAUUAUCUGGCUCACUUGUGCGCAAAAGCACCAUAUUAGACAUUAUUUUCAAUUUGACAUUCCGACAAGCUGUAGCUCAUCCAUCCAAAAAGCCACAUGACAAGCCAUCCAAUUGAAACACUUCGAAUUUUUCAAAAUAUUAUUUUUAUAAAUUAUGAUCAUGUUGGCAAAUACGUAUUAUAUUUUGAACUGCAUGCAUGAAUAAAUCAAAAUGUAUGAUAUCAUUAAGUGCUGACACAUUAAAUAAUAUAUAAAAACAACAUAAUAAGGAAUCUGCAAUAGUACUCUGAAUUCAUAGAUGUAGUUUUUUUUUUUCCAUACAAUCCUGUGAUGUGUUGAAUCUAAAGUCACCCACUUUAGAGACAAUGUGCCAAAGAUACAGCAGAGAAUUUGGUCCUCUAAUAGUUUUAUGGUACCACCACCACCACCACUGCACCUUUUACAACCCCAUGACCCUAUGCAUUUUUUGUAAUCAAUGUGUGGAGCCCCUCUCCACAUGGCUAUCUUGUGGCUGUAUUAAUUUUGAAGGACCCUUCUCUUUUACCAAAUAUGUGGAAAUAGAAAACUUUAACUAUUUUCACAUAUGUGGAAGCACCAUUAUUACCUUUCACCUUAAACAGUAACAUGUCUCUUACCAGUUUCUACCAUAGAAUUUCCAAAAGAGAGUUUAACUUUUUGAACAUCCAUGCAUAAGAUCCCUCUCUUUUACUUCUCAUUUAUAUCUUUUCUAUUUUGGGUAACUUUUUUUUUUUUUUGCCAACAAACAAGUUAUGAUAAUAGAAGAGGGACGAGAAGGGGUAAUAGACUGCUUAGAACCGACUCUGAUAUCAUACUAUCCAAAAGAUCAAUAUGACAAUCGAUAUUAGAUAAAUAACUCGGCAAACCUCCUAUUUUACAAUCAUUGUGAGAUACAUAGUGUUUCAAAUAUCUCACGCGCAAUGUAUCCCUAAAGAUAACGAUUCUAUAAUUAGCCAAAAAGCAUCUAGUACUCGAUAGAUGAUGAGUGUGAUUAAAUAUUUAGAAUGAAUUUUAUUUUCGAUCUUUAAAUUAUUUUCUCAACAUAAAAUAAGUCACUUUGCAGAUGAGAUAUAUUAUCUUAACUUCGAAGUACACAAAAAAAUAUUUUGUUCAGAAUAAGUUAUUAUUGGAUUUCUAAUUUCAAAACACAUAAAAUGAAUGUCUAGACUUUUCAAAAACAUCGUACAGAAGAAGUUAUUAUAUGCUAUCCUAUCAAAUCAUAGAUGCCAACAUUUUUCGAGGAGCAAAAAGCGAACUCCUAACUUUGAAUUAUAUAAAAAAUAUUUAUACAAAAUGACUUACAAUCUAAAUUCUAAAAAAGAAUAGGGCAAAAAAAUUUUUAGAAUAAAAGAAACAAAUCCUUUAUCUUAAUUAUUCGCACAUUGAUCUUUUUUUUUAUUUCACAUUCUAUCUCUCCGUUUUGUUACCAUCACUUAUUUUCCUCUUCAUUCUCCCCUCAAAAAAACAAAAAAAAAACCAAAAAAUUUUAGUUGGCAAUUCAGAUAAUAAUUACUACACUAGUUUAAUAUUUGUUAGUUUUCGCGUAUUUCUUGUUCAUUAACAAAUGAAAUUAUUUAACCCUAUUUAUGAAAAAUUUUAAGUCAAAACAAAACAUUUCCCCCAUUUUGAUCCAUGUUUCCACUUCCACUCCAACUAUACAUUCACUCUUUUAAAAAAAAAAAAAAAAAACCUGCAAAACCAGCGGUUGAGAUUAUACAAA